rnacentral:lncRNA from 1 species
CUAUGUAUAUAAGGUUCAAAAGUCACUAAAUAUUAUCUUUACAUUCACAUGACUUCACUUUAUUUUAUUACAAGCAUAUUACAUGAUUUCCAUACACAAAAGAAUAAAAGUAAUUCCAAGCUCUUCAAUAGUCUUCAUUCAUACUCCACUCUUGAUCAUGCUUGUUCAUGCUCCAUUACCAUGUACCAUGUUGCAAAGAAAACAAUAAAAAUAAGUUAUAUUCAUUUCUAAAAAUUCAGCACUUACAUAACAAAAAUUUAGCAUCAUGAGCAUUUAUAAAAUACACAUAAAAAGUCAUCUUGAUUCAUAUCAUCCAUCUCUAAAAUUCAACACAUGCACAUACGUUCACAUCAUAUACAAAAUCAUUAAAAAAACAAGUCAAAUAUAAUAAAAAUUUAGCAUGUUAUGCAUAUACCAUGAAUAUAAAUUCCAUUUUAUGUAUCAUAUUCAUUCCACUUCUAUACAACAAGUAAAACCCCAUAAAUCAUGUGCAUUAAAAAUUCAGCAUUCAUGCAAUAAUAAUUUCAUCCAUGAACAUCAAUCCAAAUGCAUAUAUAAGUUAUUCAUUCAUACCAUGUAAAUACCCAAACAUGUGUUCAAGUGAUGCCAUAUAAAUUAAUUCAAUUUCCCUCACAUUCACUAAAAAUUCAGCAUAAGCACAUGCAUGUAAAUUCACAUACAUCCAUGUUUUAACUACCUUAAACUUCCACUAACUAACUUCUAACCACUUUGGGCAAUUGCCCAAAGUGCCCAAAACAACCCAAACUAACUUCUAACCAAUUCUCAACCUCUAAGCAUCCCUCACCUAGUUCUAUAUAAUCAUUCAUCAUCCACCCAUUAAGGGGAUUCUUUUUUUUUUUUUGAUUUCACUCAUUCUUCACUUUCUCUCAAGUUUUUACUCCAUUCUCCAACCUUUUCUCAUUAGAUCUCAAAUCCAUGGUUGUUGAAGCUUCAAUCAACUUGAGCAUAAACCCUCACCAUACUUCACAUCAUAGUUUUUCAUGAUUAAAGCACAAAAAAAAAAAUCAACAACAAGAAAAUAAAUGGAAAAGAGAUGAAGAGGAAUUGAAUCAAGUGAACGCGAAGAAUCACUUACCAUAUUGAAUUUGCAUCACCAUUGAAGAAACAUCGGAGGGUCUUCGAUCGGUAAGCCUCAAGCUUUAUUUAUCACUCCAUAACUUCUUGUGUUGAGUCACCUUUGUAUGCUUGUUUAUUUAUUUGUCUUACUUUUCAUCUUGUGUGGACGAUUACCCCGAGAAUCUAAGCCUUGCCAUGAACAUAAACCAUAAAAAAUUCAGCAUCUUGUCAAUACCAAAACUUGACCCCUCUCAUCACCAAUUUCAACCUUCAUCAAUAAUUCAUCAAGAAACGUCACCAAGAAUUCUUAUCGCAACCCUAACCAAUACCAAAUCAAAACCCGAUUGAAAAAUCAUAACCAUUAGAGGAAUCAAACCCAAAUCCAAAACAGUUUAACCGUAAACAAGCAUUGCAAGGAAAAUCAUUCCCAAUAGAAAGAGAAAGGAAAAAAUAAGAAGCAAAACUUGGUUCAGAAUUUUUGUCGAACACUUUGUGUGCAACCGAUUAUGAGUCGAAAACUCUAAACCAAAAUCUGAGUUGAAUACAAUCUAAACAAUUUUGAACCAAUAUAAACCAGAACAAAAUAAAAUUGUAACUUCGAAACCAAAACCCAACUGAACCAAAAUCUGAAGCGGAACCUAAAUGAACUCUGAGUUGAUAACGAAUCUAAAUUGAAACACCUGAAUGUUGAACCGAAGUAAUUGUCGAAUUUCGAAACUGUUGGAAAUCACGAUAGAAUUCCAUUUGUUGCGUGAGAAAUCAGUCACAGAACUGUGAGCUUUAGAAUCACGUUUGGUUGAAAAUCACUUAUUUGAAAAAUCCCGCUUGAAGGACGCUUUGAGCGUUCUCGUUUCUGCUAUGUUUCAUGCUGCAAUUUUCUUUGCAAUUCUCGUUCUACUACACUAGUUCUUUUGUUUCCUUUUCUAUUAUCCCCUUUCUUAAUUAUUAUCAUGUUACUUUUUAAUUUUAAUUUUUUUAUAUUAUUAUAAUGUGAUUAUCACUUCCACGACACGUUCUGUAGUGCUAUAUCUCACUAGCUUUAUUUUAGUAAAUCUCACUAGCUUUAUUUUAGUAAAUUAAUUUUAGCUAUUCAAUACAUUAGUUAGUUUAGCUUAGAAAAUACUCCUCACUCCGUCUCAUAAAAGUGUCUCAUUUGUAUUUUUUUUUCUUCUAAAAAUAAUUGUUCUUUUAUAAUAUCAAUGUAUUAUUUAUUAUCAUUUUUUCACUAUCAUACCCCUAUUUAUUAACUUUCACUUUAUUUAACCACUCUUUUAAUUACAAUUAAUAGAGAUAUUUUAGUAAAUGAUAUUAGUUUUAUCAUCAAAACUAACACAUCUAAUUAUUUUCUUAAAAACUUUAAAUUAUUUAAAUUGGACCGUUUUUAUGAGGCGGGGGAGUAGUACAUUAGUUGUUAGUUUAGAAACAUGAUUCAUCUCGGUAGCUUAGUUUAGAUUGAUAUCAUAACUUAGUUUAAAAAACAAUUAAAUAGCUUUAGUUUAUAUAUAUAAUUUAGUUACUAUAAUAUGACUUUAGUUUUAGUUUAGAAAAAUAUCUUUUUUUAGUCAUUUUAAAAAUAAUACUUAGUUCAGAUUUUAAUUAGGAAUUGUUAUUUUAAUUAGAAUUAGUUUUUAGAAUUUCUCUUUAAAAUUCAAUGCAUUAGAGAUUAGGAUUAACAUUGUUUAAUUUUCAGUUUUUAAUGCCAUUAUCUUUUUCAUAAAAUCCAUGUGUCGGAUUCAUACUUUGAUCUUAUUUCUGAUUGGUUGACUGAUCAAAGUUAUCUUUGAUCAAGUAGUUCUUUGACAUAUGUCUAAUUCCCCUAUUCAAUCAAGUGAUCAAAAGCCUCUUGAUCACUUGAUAGGAUUAGUCCUCUAUACUUGCAUUGCACUGGACCUCAACUCAAGUCAAGCUUCUCCUGUAAUACUUUAAAGACCCUUGACAUCAAGACUGAACUACUAUUCAAAAACAACAAAGGUCAUGUAUCAACACUUGUUUAUUAUGAUUCAAAUUGUGCGCCAUGAGUCUCAAGCAAUAGGAAAGGAAUGAGAGUGGAUAAUUCCUUAACUCAUUCUGAAUAUCUUUGGGUACGGGACGAAAUGACCCUGUUGCUCGUCGUAUUCACCUUUUCUCAUAGACUUUAGUGUGGUUAAUAUCCAAUGACUUUCAAGUAUUCUUCUUCUUUCAUAUAUAUCAUUUCUCUUGCCUCAUCAGUUUCUGCAUUCUUUGUUCCACCGUAGGUCUGACUACGGAGCUCUAACUUUCUCAUUUCACGGUGAGAAUACACAUGCAUGAGGACUCAGAUUCUCCGCGAGCUACCCUAUUUAUUAAUCCUACCUUAUUUAUUAAUUCUUCAUUCUCUCCCAUUCAUCAAUCAAUACAGUCCUUUUGAAAUCAAAUACCUUAUCCCUUGGGAUUCCAUGUAUAUCCUUUUAGGACGAUUUAAUCGGAGUCCACCUCGUGAAUCAAAAGUUGUUUGGCUUAUUUCCAAACACUUAGUUCCUUUGUUUUUGGUUAUUCCAAUACAAUGAUACCAUGCCUUAGGCCCAUCACUUGUUGGUUUACUGUUACUCUUCAAUUCAAAGUUUAUUCCUUCAUGGAUUAAAUAUACCAUUCUUUUUGGUUUCAAAUUGUUUGUCCUCUACAAUGAUAUAUUGUUCCUUGUAUCAAAAAUCAUUUCCCUUUGGGUCUCAUACCUAUCCUUUUAGGAUGGAUUUAGUCGGAGUUCACCUUGUGAACCAAGAGUUGUUUGGCUUAUUGCAAAACAUUUAAUUCUCUUUGUUUUUGGCCCGAUCAUAUACAGUGAUACCAUGCCUUAGGCUUCUCACUUGCUGGUUCAUGCCUGGUUACUCUUUGGUUCAAAGUUCGUUUGCCUUUAUGGGUGCCCAUGCUACCAUUUUAUUUUGGUAAAAGUCAUAUUCUUCAUCACACAAAUAUCUCAUUCUCUUUGUUUUCGUAGUCGGUCGAACUACGGAGCUCUGAUUUUCUCAUUGCAUAGUGAGAAUACAUAGGCACGAGGAUUCAAAUUCUCUACGAGCUACCCUAUUUAUUAAUUCUUCACCAAUCAAUACCAUCUUUUUGAAACAAAAUACUUUAUCCCUUUGGAUUCCAUGCAUAUCCUUUUAUGACGAUUUAAUCGGAGUCCACCUUGUGAAUUGAGAGUUGUUUGGCUUAUUGUCAAAACACCUAAUUCCUUUGUUUUUGGUUAUUCCAAUACAGUGAUACCGUGCCUUAGGCCCCUCACUUGUUGGUCUACCUUUACUCUUCGGUUCCGAGUUUAUUCCUUCAUGGACUCAAUAUAUCAUUCUUUGAUUUCAAAUUGUUUUUUUUCCUAUAGUGAUAUAUUGUUCCUUGUACCAAACAUCAUUCUCCUUUGGGCUGCAUACUUAUCCUUUUAGGAUGAUUUAAUCAGAGCCCACCUUAUGAACCAAGAGCUGUUUGGCAUAUUAUUAGACAUUUAAUUCUCUUUGUUUUGGUCAUUCUGAUACAGUGAUACCAUGCCUUAGGCCCCUCGUUUGUUGGCUUGCCUGUUUACUCUUUGGUUCAAAGUUCAUUUACCUUUAUGGGUUCCCAUGCCACCAUUUUCUUUUGGUGCAAGUUAUACUUUUUCAUCACUUCCAAUCUCUCAUCUCUUUGUUUUCGUAGUUCCACGAACUAUAGAGCUCAAACUUUCUCAUUGCACAAUGAGAAUACGUUUGCACAAGGCUUCGAACCCUUGGCGAGCACAAUCCUAUUUAUUCUUUCUUUUGCCUUAGGGCACCAUCCAUAUCUUUCAUGAUCUGUCACCUACAUUCAAUCAUGACCAUUCACCUCAGUAACAUACUUCCUUUCUUUGGAACCAAAUACAACUUUCCUUGGAUUUCCAUAUAUAUCCUUUUAGGAAAAUUAUCCACCUUUGUACUAAGAGUUGUUUGGCUUAUUGCCAAACAUUUAAGUCCUUGUUUUCGACCUAACCAUACAGUGAUACCAUACCUUAGGCCCCUCACUUGUGGUUUGUGUCACCUUUACUCUAUGGUUUCAAAUACUAUUUAUCUUAUGAAUUCCAAUACACCCUUAUCUUUGGUUCCAAAUUAUAUCCUUCGAUCACUUUUACUAAAUCCUUCAUUUCUUUGACUUUGAUUACCUUCCUCUUUUCCUACCAUUCAUAUCCAUUAUUCACUAUUCACUACAUACAUAUCUUCUACCUUCAUUCACUCCAUGUGAUAUACCUCUCUUUUCGAGCCAAAUACAAUAUUUCUUUGAGCUCCAUCUUGUAUCUGCUUGUGAACCAAAAGUUGUUUGGCUUAUUGCCAGACAUUUAAUUCUCUUUGUUUCGGUUAUUCUAAUACAAUAAUACCAUGCCUUAGGCCCCUCACUUGUUGGUUCAUACCAGUUUUUCUCUUGGGUUUAGAUUUAAUCCUUUUUGGAGUCAAAUCAUAUUCUCAUUUGAUUCAGACCAUAUUUGUUAUCACAACUUAUUUUCACCUCCAAUCAUUAGUUAUAUGAACUACGGAGCUUUGGAUUCCUUAUUGCACUAUAAGGAUACGUAGGCAUGAGGGCCCUAAUCCUCACUAAACACUCUAUCUAUUCUUUUCCUUUUUCCCCUUAUCAUUUCGCGAGUAAUCCUUAGAUAUAACACUCAUUCAAACAAAGAACGAUCAAAAUGGUUCCCGUUGAGUACAACGAAUGUUAGGGGUGCUAAUACCUUCCCCUUGCAUGAUCAACUUCUUUACCCAGUUUCUCUUAGCGGCGCGGUUAUCACGUCGCAACAAUAUUUUUUUUUGCCACGGAAUUUUCACGUCGCAACAUUAUGACGCUAAGAGAAGAUUUUCUUGUAGUGUAAGUAGAUAUAUCAAAACAAUUUAAUAAAAAACUUCAAAUCAAUUUUGUUAGCGAUUCUACAAAACUAAACAUGUGAAAAAUAAAACUUGAAUUAUAAAUUGAUUGAAAUAAUUCAAAAUCUUAUCAUGGUGCACUGAAAAUUCACUCAUUUAUUUCAAAAACAUCAAUAUGAAAGGAGAGACUCUUCUGGUGUUUAUCCUGUUCUUAAAAUGUAUAUUUUUAGACAAAGGUUUAUACUACAAAUAUCACUUUUUUCUUCUUGUUUUUACAAAAUUCUAACAUACAUAUAUCACUUUUCAUUCUUUAUAGUGUAGCUAAAUUUUUCACCUAGCUUUAACCAUUCAUCUCUUAUAUUUGCUUGAGACUUCUUAGCCAAUUCAUGCUCAUCUCUCAAACAAUGCACUUGUUCCCUUAACUCAUCUCUUUCAACUUUUAGAAUCUUUGCUUUCUCAAAUAUUUCUCUCUUUGUGCAAGCAACCAUGUUCUUGGUUUCUUGUGAAGCACUUAUAUUAGCUCUAACACCAUUGAUUAGUUCUUCUAACUCUUUCUUCCUUUCCUCCAAAUACUCCAACUCAUUCAACAAUUCAUUUUCAAAACACUUCACUUCUCUAAAAAGUUUUUUGUUAGCUUCAAGACCCUCUUCUAUUUCAUCCCUUUUCAACAAUUUUGCUUUUGUAGACUCUAUUUUCUUGCUUUCAUUUGUGUAAUCAUUACUCCAACAAAUGAACUGUCUUGAAACUUCUAUAACCAAUGAUCUUGUUUCAAUAGAUAUUCCUUCUUCUUUUGGUAAAUUUGUGAGGUAAUCUAAGGUAGAUUUCAUGGUGUUGUACUCAUUAGGCCUUAAAAGAAUUGAAAAAUCUUUGGUGAGAAAAUCAUCAAGUGUCUUCAAAGCUUUCUUGGUUUCUUCACUUGGCAUUGUUUUGUUAGAUGAUUCAGAAACCACUUUUUUUUCAUUAUUCUCAGCAUCAAGAAUAGCAUAAAAUGCUUCCAUGUCUUCAUCAUCCAGAUUAGCAUUAAAUUCUUCGACAUUACAACCAAUCUUCUCAAAUUCAUUGCUUGAAUCUAAAUCAACAUCAGGAUCUUCAAAUAGGAUAUCUUCCAUGUUAGCUUCUUGCCUACAUACAUGAACUCCACACCAGCUUACAUUCACAUUUGAUGAUCCAUUUAUUUUCUCACAAGAAAUCUCAAUCUGAUUCCAAUCCUCAACUAGAUACGAAUCGAGAUCAUGAAACUUGAAAGAUGGAUGAGUCCUCAAAUCAAACAGCCAUACAUGAUCUGUCACCAUUUCUGAAAAACUUCUUGGUAUUUCCAAUUCAUAAACUUCUUCACUGUUUAUAUAAAAUCGGAUUUCGCAACUGAAACUCUUCUUCAUUUCACUCUUCAUUGCAAGAGUGAAACAUAAAAUGAUUGGUGGAAAAUUUUCAUGCACCCAAAAGGUCAUGUAUUCUCCUUCGCUCGUGUGAUCAAACCAUUCGGGAAUUCCUGUUCCCGGAACCAUAAUUUGUAACUCACAUGCGUCGAAAGUUUCCUGUUAUAUAUUAUUGACAAGUUCAAGGAUCCGAUUACAAAAAUUUCGAAUUGUUUUUAGACACAAACAAAGUAUUUAAAUCAUUUAAGAAUGAGACAAACCUGGCUUAGUAACAAGUUUGAUGACUCUGCAGUCAAUGAUAUGCAGUUUCUUGCGUUAAUAUAUUGCGAAUUGGGAGGAAUGCAUGGAAUUUCUCGGAGUUCUAUGCAGUCGUCUAAGUGAAGCAUUUGCAACGAAUCAUAUUCUUGUAUGGAUCUUGGAAGAGUAAGAAAAUUAUUUCCCGAAAGGACUAAUGAUGACAAAUUUGGGAAACAGUUGAAAAUUACGGGAAGAUCUUCAUCGAUAAGACCACAGUUUUCUAGAUUCAAAGACUGAACAUUGAAAAAUGUAAGAGUAGAUUUUCCUAAUUCCCUCAAUUUUGUCAAGAAGUUUCUCAAUUGCGGACAUCCUUCAAUAUCAAGGUUUCUAAGAUUCUGCAGCAUAUCAAUGUUUUCAGGAAGUUCCUUGAGACUCAAGCAAGAUGUCAUGCUUAAUUCUUCAAGAGCAACAAGGUUUUCAAUGGAAGGAGGCAAUUCUUCAAUACCAGUUCCUUCAAUUGAAAUAGAUAUGAGAUUAUCCAUUUUGGCCAAAAUUGUUGGAAAAGUUUGAAGACUUGAGCACCAAUUAAGAAUUAGAGUUUUCAAUGAUGUCAAUUUGAUAGCUUGUGGAAAAUCUUUAAGUUUAGUGCAUCCAUAAGCCCUUAACUCAGUAAGGUUCUCAAGAAAUCCAAGAGAGUCAUCAAUUUUUUCAAGAUUUGUACAAUAGUCAAGAUUUAGUUCUGUUAAAUUUGGUACACCAGAAACGUCCGGUAGCUUUGUUAAGAAUUCACACCGACUCAAAUCCAUAGAAGUCAAAGAAUCGAAAUGCUGCAAAUCAGAAAAAUUAGAUUAACAAACUUGGUUCAACCCUUAAAAAACCGACCAGUAAGAUGAAGACUGACCCACAUAUCCAAACCACAUUUCAUCCAAUGUUAGAGAGAAAUGCAUAAAAUGAUAACAUGAAAGCUUACCUUGAAUGGUUCUUGCAAUGUAAAGCGACUUUGCGACAAGUUGAGUGCAACAAGUUUCUUUGGGUGAAAAGUCUGUGGCAAAGACGAUGAAGGAUAUUCCAUCCAAUCAAGCAACCUUAAAUUGUUUGGAAGAUGUUGAGGGCUUCCAUAAAAGUGUCCAUUUCUAACUAUAAGAAUUUUGAGAUUUUUCAUCUUUUUGAAGGAAUCAUCUUUCAACUGUACCAUAUAGUGAUCAGGGAGAUCUACCAUCAUGCCUUGAAUUCUAUAAGUCCCCUUUUAAACAAAAGCAAACAUGAAAAGUCAUAAUUCGAUGCAAAAGCACUUACUAGAUUGCUUGAAAGAGCUUAUGGAAAUAGCUUAUGACAUAGUCAUAAGUUGUUUUCAGCUAUCUCCUUAAUCUCUUCAGAAUAACUUAUCAACAUAGUUUGUAGUUUAUGUAUAAGCAUUUAUAAGAUAAGUGUUUAUGCUAUAAACUCCUAAUUAAGUUGUUUAUUCUAUAAGAAAUCAUGUUAAACAAAACAAUGGUAAUAACAUAGAAAUGAUGGCGCUUACCGAACUUUCGGUUAGUACUUCAAUAACAUCCUCGUGAUUCCAUAAUCUACUCCGUUUUCCAGGCUCUAACGGCGAAACUUCUCUAACAACUUCCCUUCCCAUGUCUUGAAUCAAAUCAUGCAUUCUCAAUCGGUUAUAUUCGUCAAUACUUACAAGAGAUCUAUCAGUAAGUACACUGAUACCGAAUUUCGGAAAGAAACCACAAGCUUGAAGUGUUUUUUCGACAUAUUCAACAGUCUCACCUUUGAAGAAACAAGCUAUAUCCAAGAAAAUCUCCUUUUCAUUCUCUUCUAAAUUAUCAAAAGUUACUCGAAGCACAUUUUGAACUUCUUUAUUAGGAAUUUUUUCGUAUUUAGCCAAUGCAGAUUUCCAUUCCUCAACUGUUUUACCAAACAAAUUAGAUCCCAUUACUUUCAAAGCCAAUGGAAGUCCUUCUGCAUAAACCACAACAUUGUUCGAAAUCUCCAUAUACUCCUUCUCACUUGCUUUUCUUUUGAAUGCAUUCCAUGUAAAGAGUUCAAAAGCUUCUUCAUGAUUCAAUUUCUUCACCUCAUAAGUUUGAUCAACUAGAUGAGAAGCUAGCAAUUGUUUAUCUCUUGUUGUUAUGAUUAUUACACUUCCGAAACCGAACCAAUCCCGUCCUCCUGCUAAUGCUUGAAGCUGUUCCAACUUGUCAACAUCAUCAAGAAUCAAAAGCACUUUUUUGCAACAUAAUCUCUUCUUUAUAAUUGGAAUUCCUUUAUAAACAUUUCCUAGCUUAAUGUUGUUUUCACCAACUGUUUCAUAAAGAAGUGUUUCUUGAAGUUGAACUAAGCCUUGUCUUUGAGUUGAAGCUUCUCUUAUAUCAGUAAGAAAACUUGUGACUUCAAAUUGAUUAGCAAUUGAGUUGUACAAUGCUCUUGCAAUUGUUGUUUUGCCUAUGCCUCCAUGUCCAUGAAUUCCAAAGAAAGAAACUUCUUCAACAGGCUUUUCGAAUUUCAAAAGUGAUUUUACUUCUGAUAUGCGAGUUUCUAGUCCAACCGGAUGCUCCGCAAUAUGCAAAAGGGUGUUAUUUAAUUUGCUAGAAACCUCCUCAAUGAUCCUUAGGAUAAGCUCAUAUUCAUACCUACAAAGUUACAAAUUCAAACACAAUUACUAUCACCGUUUCGAAACACAAUCCGCGUCAAAAAUUUGGACCGUGAACAAAAUGAUCAAUGAUCAAGGUUUUAAAUAACAAUCGCGGCCGCGUUGCAAUCGCGUAAAGGUUUUCGCGAUUUUGGUCGGUUCAGGCAAAUAUUCAAACCUAUCAAGUUACAAAUUCAAACAUAAUUACUAUCACCAUUUUUAAAAAAAAGAUCCGCAUCAACAAUUUGGACCGUGACGUCAAGGUUUUUGAUGUCUGAACAAAAUGAUUUGCAUUCUUGUAGAGGCUUUUGCAAUUUUGAUCGUUACAGGUGUUGCAACACUGAUUGUGGUCGCUGCUGUGUAAAUUAACCACACGAUCUAUUCUUUAUCAUAAAAACAGUUAAUAACGUAUCAGUAUCGUCACUUUCAAUUAAGUUAGAAUAGAUACAUGAACAAAAAGAAGAAUAUAUAUAUGUAUUUUUACAUACCCAUGGCCAAUUUUUAAGCUCCAACCUGACAAAUUGGCUGCAUCAAACAAAGCUUUUUUCCACUUGUUCAACCUUUGAACAUCACCCUUGAAUGUGACUUCAUGUUUAGCCAUUGCUAUUCCAAAGCUUCCUCUUUGAUGCCUAAUCCAAGAAGGGUCAACAUAGUAGAAAACCGGAAAAACCAACUGUCCCUUUGUUUUCCAACACUCAAGAAUCAUGGCAAGUUCAUCAAGACACCAAGUUGAGGAAGCAUAGUUUUCAGAAAACACAAUGAUUGAAAUCCUAGAUUCUUCAAUGGCUGUAGUAAGAGAUGGAGAUAUUUGCUCUCCUCUUCUAAGCUUCUCAUCAUCAAUGAAAACAUUGAUACCCUUUUGGUGCAAACCAUGAUAGAGAGAGCCUGUGAAACUUGUCCUUGUAUCUUCACCUCUAAAACUAAGAAACACAUCAUAGUUCCAUCCAUGUAUCAUUGUGGUUAUGGCUUCAAUUAUCAAACACGGACAAAAGUUUAGGCUGAAUCGCGAACUAAGUCGCUGAUUGUUAAUACGUUUUCAUAAAUGAAAACAAAUAUUUGACUUUGAGGUGCUAACAAAUGUUUCUCUUUCUUUUGAGUUUUAACAAUCAACUAAUAAAACUAUGAGUCAUAUUCAACUUACUAUGAAUACACUUAUUAAUUAGAUACAAUCAUAAGUCUCCUAGUUGAAUUAUUUACAUUUUGUGUUCUUCCCAAAAAAAAGAAACAAGGAACGUGUGGCUAUGAUUCUUAUCACAUGCAUAGGUUCCUUCUCCUUUUGAAUUAUUGUGACACAAAUCGUUUGUAGAUUUGGGAUAAAAAAUAUGUGAUAUAUUUCCUUUUUUUUUUAAUUGUUUUUUUUAAUUGUCAUUUAUAAAUUUUAAGGUAGUAUUAAUUAUAUUUUUGUCAAAAUUAAUCUUAAAUAAUUAUUAUAAAAAGAGAAAAAAUAAAAUAAAUGAUUAGUUUUUAUAUAAUAAUAAUGAUUAGUCCUAAAUAAUUAUUUUUUAAUAUACGUAAAAGAAAAUCAAAAAAUAAUAUUUAAAAAUAAACGGAGGUAGUAAUGUAAAGGUAGCUUGCAAAGUCAACCAAUAAAUAAAUUGUGGCUCCAUCGUUGAACACAACUUAUUCCUUUAUUAAUAUUGGUGGCUUACAUUUCAGACUCAUGAAGAUAUUUUACAUAUUGACCAAAAACAAAUUGUUUUUCAUGAAUUAUUAUUAUUCGCCCAAGUUGUUGUGUUUAUCAUACAAUGCUUAAAUAUAUAUAUAUCUUUUUAAAUUCAUUGAAUUUUAGUUAUUAAAAUCAAAAUUUAUAAAUAAUAUAUAUAUUUUAAUUUUAGGAAUUAAAACAAAAUAAAAUUUAAUAUUUAAAAUUUUUAUUCAUAAAAAAAGAUAGAGGAGGACUAAAUACAAACACACGGCAAUUUAUUUAAACUUAUAUACUAUCAUUAGACAAAAACACAAUUUAAAAAAAUUUAAGUUUUUACUUAAUUGGAUAUUUUGUACAACAAUAAAAUUUAUGAUUUUUUUAUUUAAAUAAUUUUAAUAUAUUAAAUUGUAAAUAGUGUAAACUUGUGAUGCGUGAAUUCUAAUUUAACUUUUUACUUAAAUUUUUGUGUCUAACCUCACCAAUUGAGGAGUGGAAUAGACUUUAUUAACAAAAUAUUAAAAGGCUGAAUAAGAAAUAAUAAUAUAAAUAUUUAAAAUAAUAUAAUAAACUUAAGUAUAUUAUAUAUAUACUAUAUUAUAUAUAUAUAUAUAUAUAUAUAAUAGUAUUAUUUCCAUAUAUUGUAUGUUGAGUAGAUAUUCUGCAUAAUUCUGUCCUUGUGUUAAGCGCAGAUAUGUUGUUGUCUGCAGUAUUAACCUCGGUAUAUUCUCAGGUAGUAUAACCUCAGGUUAACACUAUUUUAAUAUGAUUUGGUUUUUAUAUAGUAUGAUACAUUGAUAAUAUAUGCUCUUGUCGUUAACCGUAAGCCCACGGCGUAUAUAGUCUUAGUCAAAAAAUUUUAAGUGAUAAAUCUAGGUUGAACGUUUUAUGCAAAUAUAGUAGUACUUUGGCCCUGCGUUACGGGUAACCAGCGCUUACCCGGGUUUAUACCUAUUUAGACUGAUAAAUUAGGACAUACAAUUGGUAAUCUUAUAAUAUAGUAUUAGAUAGAUAUUGGUGAUGCCUAUUUUAGUUGAUAUUGUGAGGAUAAUAAUUUUGUGUAGUAGUUAUUUAUAGUAUUAUAAGAAUAUUAUAUUGGAUAUUUACAAUUCCGACAGAAUAGUGUAGGAAAGGCGCCUAGAUUGUGUUUUUAACAGUUGCAUUAACAAAGCUGCAGCUUGGAGGCUUAUUAUCGAGUCAGUUCUACUAGACGAUGUGUGUAUUAUAAAUGAAAUUUUUGAUCCUUGUUAUGUAUUAAUUUGCUCUUAUAGAAGUAGUGUCUCAGAAUGAUUAUGGUAGUAUGUAUGUGAGAUUUUGCACAGGAUAUUUAAUCUUGUUUGUCAUACUACAUCAGGUGUAUCAGUUCUAUAUAGCUCUAAUUUCAUUUUCUCGUGAUAACUUUGCUAACAUACUCACUCACGUUGUAGUUAUCUACAUAUAGUUAGGUUAUAAUUGUGCAAAAUAUUUAAGUUUGAUAAGGUUGUGAAAGGCUUUAUGUACCUUAGUAUGCCCAUUAAAAAUGGCAUAAUGAUAUUUUAUAUAUAGUAUAUGAGAGGAGUAUGUACGAUACUGAAUCACUCUAGAAUAAGUGUUUUCAUGAUGAUGAACCGGUAGUUCGAAUGUGCUUAUUUUCGAGAUUAGAUCUUCAACUUUGCUGUCGAAUUUUGUGAGUAUCGUUGAUGAUUAUAUAAAUUAUUAUUUGAUCAAUAUAGUAGAUAUUUUUAAUUGGUUUUCAUUUAUCUUCUGGAUUUGUGGUCAAUACUAUUAUUUGUGACGUAUAGAAUAUAAAUAGCUUUAAGAUUAUUAAACUACACAUUAUAACAUUUGAAACUUAUGAUAAUUUAUAGGUAUUUAUUUUAUAUACUCCGAAUAUUUACAAUUUUCGAUGUAUUGGUUGUGUAUUCUCAAAUCUUUCAUUUUUUAUUAAGCCGACACCUUUUUUAUUCUGUAAUAAUAGACACACGUCUAAUAUACUUUGAAGAUUUAUUAAUUUAAUGACGCAUGCUCAGUAUGUCCGCGUGAGAUGUGAAAACUCGUUUAACCCGAUAAGAUAUGCAGUGUUAUUAUCAAUGCCUCUACUAUAUGAGUUAUAUUUUAAGACCGGUCAUGGGAUUUGUUAAUUUUCAUUAUGAUCGUUCCGAUGACUCCAGAGGAAAGUGUUCCGAUACCAUUAAUGUCAUGGUAGUUGGCUAUUUAACUUGUGUGCUAUUGUUUGGUGAUAUUGUUUAUGAGAGCUGUGAUCAUUGUUUCUUGUAAUUCAGCACACUCUGUGAUCUACAGACUUUCAUAUCUCGAAAAUAGUUAGUAUCAGUUUUUUGAUAUUUAAUAAAUUAUUAUUUGUGUUUUUAUGACAAAAAGUAUUAUAUAAGAUAUAAGAUUAAUAAGUUAGUUAUAGCUAACACACUUCUGAUUGAAUCUCGACUCAUAUUAAUUACUAACAAUCGAGUUACUUAGUUAAACUGAUAAGUUACUAUUUUAUAUAAUUUAUUUUAGGUUGAUAAUUAUAUUAAAAUAUGACACAGUGUCUUAUUUCUUAUAUACUAGUAUUAAUUCCUCAUGAUAAUAAUUAAUAUUAUGUGCAUACUAAGAAUCUAUCGGCAUGCCAUACUGCACCAAGGAAACAGCCAGAACUAUAACGGAAUAGUAUAAAUUGCUAGAAGAUGAAGCUAGUCCAACGAAAAUAAUUCAAGAGAUAUAACUAUCAAUGAUUGCACAAAAGGAUGUAUGGCAUAGUUGAUCAUUUAAGAUUCGUGAUGGGAGUAUUACAAGUUCCAUUUCUGAUCAUCUCUUCUUGUAUGCAUGAACAUGAAUUUUGUUAAAAUAAUAUUUAUGAAUAAUUUUUUAAGAAUGGUCCUAAUGAUGUUUUGGUUGUAUUUAUAAGAUUUUAAUGUUUAUUAUUUUUACAACAUUUUACUCAUUUAUCAAUAAACAUNUAUAUAUAUAUAUAUAAAAGUACAUGUGAAUAUUAAACAGUGUCUUAUGAAAAAUGUAAUCGGAUCAUUAACACAAUGUCUCCCAAUUUUAGAAGUCUCGUAAUUAUAAAAAUAUUUUUUAAAUAUAAAUUUUUUAAAUGUUUUCAUUUCUCUGUCACAUGUAAAACUUUAUAACUAGAAAAACUUAUGAAUUAACACACAGUUAUAAUUGGUUUAGUAUUAUUUACAAUUUAAUAAAUGAUAGUUGUUUUUAAAUUUUAUUUUUUAUUAAGGACCUUAUUUGUUAAAAGACACGAGUAUUACUUAAAUUUAAUAUUUUUAAUGCAUCAUUUUUCCGGCAAGAAACUCUCUCAUACAUAAAGAUGCAGUUGUUAUUAACAUACAUUGGUUUUCAUUUUUUUAAAUAUUUUUAAUUCAUGAUCCGUCCGACAAGAAAAGUCUCCCAUACAUUAAAGAUGUAGUUGUUAUUAACUUUCAUUGGUUUUUAUUUUUUUAUUGACGUUUUUUUUUUAAAUUUCAAACGGUAUGUUCAGCUUUCAUCAUCUCAGAAAAUAGUCAUAACAGUUUUUUACUAAUAAUAAUUAAAUUAUUAUUUGAUUUUUAUAAAAAAAAUUAUUUAUAAAAAGAGAAUAGUAUAUACUAAAUUGAAACUCAUUUUAUUAAAUAGUUUUAUUUAAAACUGAAAGUACUUGUAAUAUUUAUUUAUUUAUAAAAAAUAAAUUAAAUUCUAUUUUUAUUUCUAUUUAUUCUCAUUUAUAAUUAAUUUAAUAAAUUAUGUGUAUAUAAUUCAAGAUAAUAUUCCAAAAAUAAUAAAGUAGAACUAUCAAUGUUUCACAAAGAUAUUUCAUCUUCAUCAUUUAAAUGAUAAUAUUACAUUCGUUUUCUUUCUCUAUGAUGAACAUGAAUUUUGUUAAAAUAAUAUUUAUGAAUAAUUUUUUAAGAAUGGUCCUAAUGAUUGUUUUUGGUGUAUUUAUAAGAUUUUAAUGUUUAUUAUUUUUUACAACAUUUUAUCAUUUUUAACAUACUAAAAAUUGGGGGAGAAAAGGAUAAAUUUUAUUAAAUACAGUAUAUGAAAAUGCUAAAGAGAAAAAGAGAAACUUACAUGAAUAAAAAUCACUCCAUCUUCAAGAGUCCUGAAAGUAUAUUUGUUUGCAAAGAAGAUAAAAAAAAAGGUAAAUAUAGAGACACAAAGUGAAAGUAAAAGUUGAGAAAAUGAUAGGAAUGGAGAGGCUACUCUAUUUUGAAGUGAGCAUUGCAUUGUAUCCUUAACAUAUAGGUUUGAAAUGUUAUUUCUGUUAUCCUAAGAGUCAAAAAUGGCAUAUUUAAGGGAAUGGUAGGUGCCUAUGAUAUUUAGAAUAGAAUAGAAAAGACAAAAUGCUAGUGAGAGAGGAAUACAAUACCAAAGUGUGAAUUUAUUCCAUUGAAAUUUUCCCAAUAGUUUGAGUGUUUGUUUGAUAAGAUAUAUUGAAUAGGAUAUCCACUAUAAAAGAUGAUUUUGUGAAAAAUAGGUAGGAAAUAGAAAAAUGUGGCAAGAAUGAGAAAUGUUUUAUUUUUAGGUUAAAUAUAAUUGUGUUUUUUUAAAUAUUUGAUAAAAUAAUCUCUUUAAACUAUUUUUUUCUACAAUUUUAGUUUUUUUCAUAGAGUUUUGCAUGUCUCUUUUAAUAUUUCUCACGACUUUAUCUUAGAUAAUGAUAGCGCAUAAAUUAAGGAGAAGGGGAAAUUCGUCCUUUGGAGGGUUUAUCAAUGGAGAAAUAAAAUAAAUAAGUAAUAUAAUUUUAGUGUGUUAGUUCAAAUUCAAAUAGUUAGUUAUUGAAUGAUAUUUAAGUUGUUGUUUAUUAUUUUUUUAGAGGGGUGAGAAGUUUAUUUGGAAUUUACUAGGUCACAGGAAGUUAUCUUCUGAGAGAGCAAACUACUUUUAUAGUAGAUUGUAUUUCCUUUGUUUUAUCAAUGAAAAACCACAAGUUCCUUGCAAUUUUUUAUUUAUUUAUAAUUUUGUUCUACCGGAGCAUUGUUCAUCCUAUCAAAUUGGUUUGAACUAUCGGAUGCCACCGAAGAAGAUGGAGGCCAAAGUGACUGCACUUGAAGAGAAACUCGUAACUCUGGAGGUUUCUUUACAUGAAAUGCAGAAUCAAAAUAAAGACAAUCAUGAGAAGAUCAUCUCUUUAUUAAAUUCAAAUAAGAGGGAUGUGGGAGAAUCACCGCACAAUAAUGGGUCAAUUGAUACCAAAAAGAUUUUUUUUGGCUUACAUGGUAAAGCUUUGCAUAAAUUUCACCUAUCUGUGAAGAAGGUGGAAUUACUGAUGUUUAGUGGUGAUGAUCCCGUUGGUUGGAUUGCUAGGGUGGAAGUCUAUUUCAAUGUGCAUAAUACUACACCUAAAAUCAAAGUGAAUUUGACACAAUUAUGUAUCGACAAUCCUACAAUUCAUUUUUCAAAAGACUGUUGGAGGAGAAUGAAACAUUGACAUGGGAGAAUUUGAAAGAUGCACUUCUUGAGAGGUAUGGUGGUCUAAGUGAUGUGAAUGCAUUUGAGAAUAUUUUUGCGCUUCAACAAGAAAGAACAAUUGAACAAUACAUUGAAGAAAGGUUAGUAGCACAACUGCCCCGAUUACCCAAUGACCAAUAUUUGGGUUAUUUCGUUCAUGGUUUGAAGGGAAAAAUCAGGGGAAAGGUUUGCAACAUGAUUGCUAUGGGUCAUAUGUCAAGAGCAAAGUUAACGAACGUGGCUCGAACAGUAGAAUGUGAAAUCCAAAAAGGGUCAACAUAGUAGAAAAUCGGAAAAACUAAUUGUCCCUUUGUUUUCCAACACUCAGAAGUUAUCAUCAAUGAAAAUGUUGAUACCCUUUUGGGGCAAACCAUGAUAGAGAGAGCCUUUGAAACUUGUCCUAGUAUAUUCACCUCUAAAACUUAGAAACAUAUCAUAAUUCCAUCCAUGUGCGGACUAGGUGUUAUUAAUACGAUUUCAUAAAUGGAGACAAAUAUUUGACUUUGAAGUGCUAACAAAUGUUUCUUUGCCUUUUGAGUUUUAAUGAACUAAUAAAACUAAUUAGAUAUAAUCACAAGUGUCCUAAUCACAAGUGUCUUUUGAGUUUUACAUAUUGACCAAAUACUCUCUCCGUUCCUUUUUAAGUGUCAUUUUUUGACUUUAUACACAUACCAAGAAAGUUAAUCAUUAUUAUUACUUUUUAAACAAUAAUUCUUCUUUUACCUAUAAUACCCUUAACUAUUUAUCAUAUUCAUUUUACUUUUUCUCUCUCUGUAAUAAUUACCUAGGGGUAAUUUUGACAAAAGUGCACUUAAUACUAUCUUGAAAUUUGCAAGUGACAAUUAAAAAGAAAUAAAUUUUUUCAAGAAAGUGACACUUAAAAAGGAACGGAGGGAGUACAAUAAAUUUUUAAUGAAUAAAUAUUAAUAUCUCUUAAAAAAAAUAAGAAAAGUAGUUUGUAUUGUUAUUUAUAAUUUGUACAAGUUGUUUGAUAUUAGAUAUAAUAGAUAGAGGACAAAGUCAAUCGUAAUGAGUUGUGUCUAAAGAAUACAAUAAUAAUGAUAAUAUUAUAAUUCUAUAUUUAUAAAUGAAAAUUGUCAAUCACAUCAAUUAGUGAUGAUUGGUGAUUUUAUUUCCUUUAACAUCCUCUCGCAAGUUGAAGUAUGGAUGUCAAUCACACUCAACUUGCUGAGAUGUGUAUGAAAUACGGGUGAUCGCAGCGGCUUCGCGAGUAUAUCAUAUAUCAGAUUCCCACUUUAUACAUACACUAUCUUGAUUUCUCCUAUUUUGAUUCUCUCACGGACAAUAUGUAAAUCUAAUUCGAUAUGCUUCGUCCUCUCAUGAUAGACGGGAUUUGCAGCGAUGUGUAGAGCUGCUUGAUUGUCACAAAAUCAUCUUGCUGCCUCAGGAUGUGGAACAUAUAAAUCUUUUAACAAGUAUCUUAACCAAGAAUGUUCACAUGUGGUUGCAAUCAUCGAACGAUACUUUGAUUCUGCUAAUAACCGUGAAAUCGUUGCUUGUUUGUUUCUUUUCCAUGAGAUAAGGGACUUUCCAUGAAAUACACAAUAGUCUGUUACAAAACGACGUGUGGUCGAGCAUCUUUCCCAACCGGCAUGACAAUAUCUAACCAAAUUAAGUGAGAUUUCUGAUGUGAAUAAUAACCCUUGUUUUGGAGCUGCUUUCAAGUAUUGGAGAAGUCUAUGUGCAGCCUUCAUGUGAUGUACUUUUGGUUCCUGCAUGAAUUGACUAAUUGUGUUUAAGGAGUAUGUGGUUUCAGACCGAGUAAUUAUGAGGUAGAUUAGUUUCCCAAGUAGCAUGCGAUAACGACUUGGAUCCUUGAGAGCUUCACUUCUAUUUUCUGUCAACACCAACUCAGGUUCCAUGGGGACAAUUGUUGGAUUUGCUCCAAGUAGUCUAGUUUCUUCUAAUAUGUCUAAUUUUUAUUUUCUUUGACAAACCGUUAUUCAUGCCUUGGACCGAACCACUUCAAUUCCUAGAAAGUAUUUGAGCACUACAAGGUCUUUAAUCGUGAAACAACUAUUGAGAAACUUCUUGAGAUCAUUGAUGUUGUCUCAUUGUUCCCAGUAAUGACCAUAUCAUCGACAUAGAGAAGCACCACGGUAAGAGAAUCCCCAUGAACAUGUGUAAAUAGUGAUAAUCAUUCUUUGAUUGUUGAAAGCCAAUUUAUUGAAUUUCACAAGAAAAACGUUGGAACCAACAAUGAGAUGCUUGCUUGAGCCUAUAAAGUGACUUGUGGAAUCGACAAACUACAUUCUCCCCUUGUCGAUAAUAGCUCGGGGGCAUCGUGUAUUCUUCCUCAACAAGAUCCCCGUGAAGAAAUGAAUUUUGCAUGUCCAUUUGGUGUAAAAGCCAAAGUCGAACGACAACAAUGGCUAAUAAGCAACAAAUAGUUACUAAUUUGGCAACCGGUGCAAAUGUAUCCUUAUAAUCAAUGCCUUCACAUUGGGUGAAACAUUUGACGACAAACCGAGCUUUGUGAGGCCCGAUUAUACCAUCAACAUGAUACUUGAUCUUAAAUAUCAGCUUGAAGCUGAUAGGUCAUUGGCCAAGAGGUAGUGGAACCAUGAACCAUGUUUUAUGAAGGAGAAUUGCGGUCCAAAACGCAGCGGAAAUUAAAAUUUCUCCUUUAGAGAUCCUUACGAAUGGUCAUGAUCAGUGAUAGAAUAUUUACCUCUUGUGACGGUUGAAACCUUUGGUGCAGAUGCAUUAAACAUAAGGACACUAUUCUUAAAGUAUCCGUAGUCGAGCUUGUAGUGUGUAGUGGGAUUAAACAUUAAACGAUUAAGACUAUUAUGUUUGUACACUGAUGAUCACAUCUCAUGGAUCAUGGAUAAAGAGUUAUCAAGUCUUAAACAUAGGUAUGAAUAUUAGGAGUAUAUUUAUACCGGAUUGACCCGCUAUGAGAAUACUAUAUAUAAAGUUAUGCAAAGUGUCAUAAGUUAUUCUCAUGGUGAUAAAUGGUGUAUACACACUCUUCGACCUGAAACCACUAUGGACGCCUAGAUGUGGAGUCGAGUGCUUUAUUGCUGAUCCAACGUUGUCCGUAACUGGAUAACCAUAAGAACAGUUGAUGGGUAUCCACGAAGCAUGCUGAGGGACAUGAGUGACCUAGAUGGAAUUUGCCCAUCCUGCAUAACAGGAUAAAUGUCUAUGGGCCCAAUAUUGAACUGGACAAGGAUGACACGGUCUAUGCCUUGUGUUCAAUAUAGACAUAAGGGCAAAAGGGUAAUUAUACACAUAAGUAUUAUCACAGAAGGAAUUGUCAGAAUCACAUGACAUUUUCGUGUCUGGGUAGCAGUGAUGUGUUGCUAGAUACCGCUCACUGUUUAUUAUGUUAAAUGCGUGAUUUAAUAUAAUUGCCAACGUCACGAAAACCUACAGGGUCACAACCAAAGGACGGAUUGAUGAGAGAUAGAGUAACUAAGGAUACCGUAAGGUACGGUGCCUUAAGUGAAUUAUAGAACAUCGUAAGGUACGGUGUACUUGAGUAGAAUACGAAAUAUGGUAAGGUACCAUGGGCUUAAGUGAUUUUGGGCAUAUUAUAAGAUAUGGGCCAAAACACACUUAAGUGGGCUUUUUAGCUUGAAGCCCACACAAGUGGUUCUAUAAAUAGACCCUUGUGCAGAAGCAUUAAUAGCGGUUGCAUUAUUUUCAUUUUCUCUCUCUCUCUCUCUCUUCUCUCUCUCUCUCUCUCUCUCUUCACUCAAAGCCUUCACUCGUACCAGCUAGCACUGAGAUUGAAGGAAUCCGUUCGUGUGGACUGAGUAGAGACGUUGUCAUCGUUCAACGUUCGUGAUGUGCUUCGUGGAUCUGCAUCAAAGGUAUUUGAUCGUCAAAGAGUCUGCACCAAAGGUUUCAAUCGUCACAAGAGGUAAAUAUUCUAUCACUGAUCAUGACCAUUCGUAAGGAUCUCUAAAGGAGAAAAUUUUAAUUUCGCGUGCGUUUUGGACCGCAAUUCUCCUUCAGUGGUAUCAAGAGCCACUUACGAAACCAUGAAUCGGAUAGCUGUUUAAUUUCUGUAUAAUAUGAUAUUAAAAGACAGAAUGAAUCAAUUAAUUAAACGGGUUAAUUAAAUUGGCAUCAUGAGUGUACGAGUUGGAUGAUUGAUGUUGACUAUGCUUCGGUACCGACAUUAGUAUGGUGAAGCAGCGAUACAUCGAUCGUCCAUAUGUUACGCAAUUGAGACCGAUCAACUUAUAUAUGAUAUAGUAAAUCUUAAUGCAAAGUACGGUAUAUGUAUAUUGUUUCUGUUUCGUUCAUUCAAACACUAAAUGGUUCUUUUCCUUUGAGCGAUAAAUGGUCAUUUGCUUCGGAAUCCGACAUUAGUAUGGUGAGGCAAUGACUUGUUGAUCAAUCAUACUGAAUCAACAAUCGAGGUGUGUUUGACGGUCUGAAAUUGGCGCAUUAGGGUUGGGUGACGGCGCAAGGGUUGUGCCGUCAAGGAGUUGUGAAUUUAGGGCUUUUUGGAACAGGUCUGUAGACUGUUUCAAAGUUCCGUUAUUUUGGCCACGUGAAGCUCGUGUGACGAGCGUAACAAGCGUAACAAGCUGGAUGCGUGACGGUCGUACAAAGCCCAUGAUGGUCGUAACAAGGACGUGACGGUCGUCACAUGCCUUGUGACGGUCGUCACAACUCACGAGAUCUCAAAAUUCUAGAGCAUUUCUGUUUCUGGCCGUGACGGUCGUAAAUGCCUGUGACGGUAGUAACAUGCAUGUGACGGUCGUACGUGCACGUGUGACCGGUCGUCACAUCACGGGUCAGAAUUCUUGGGGUUUUUCAGUUUUGUGACUAGCAGAGAGUUGCUGUUGAUGCAAAACAAUGUCCAUUUCAAAUGGAUUGUUCAAUAUAAAAUUUUGGACAGGGGCGCUAUGACCGGGCAGCGGAACCCCCCGGCUAACUCUGCGUAGUGUGAAUCGGUCCGCCGAAGAUUUAAUUUUGUUUUAAUUAAUUAUAAGGAAUUAAAAUAAUUAAAUAUGAAUAUAAUGUAGUGUUGUAAAGUUCGGCAAUUGCCUUGUUUUGUGAUGCUAGUUAUUGGCCUCUCAGUCUUACUUCUAUAUUUGUUUUGCGGUUUUUAUAAUAACGACUGCGGAUCUCGAGCUCUGCACCUUUUGUAAUCUCUUAAAUGUAACUUCUUAUAUUCUCAUCUCAACCCUCGUAUGUAAAACGAGUUCUCUGGAAUGUAAUGGAUUAAUGAGAAAAGAGAAGUAAGACAAUGUUAUGAAGAAAGAGAAGAGUUUCAAUAUCAAAGGAGCGAGAAUCAACCUUGAUAGAUCUUGCUUGGAUAACGCUUAGAGAGAAUUAAUAUUAAAGGAGACAACCUUGAACGUAUCUGCUUGAGGAGAAGCUUAGAUGCGUUAUUAGGAUAUGACUUUAGGUUCUCUUUCAAUUGGCUUCGGGAGAACAAUUGCGCUCCACUGGCCGAUACAGCAUGUUUUCAUUGUGUAUGUAUGUUGAUGGCAUGUGUACUGUAAUGAUUGAUGCAUGUGAAUAUAUGUUGAUGCAUGUGAGAGACGAUUUAUAAUGACAUAAGAUAAGCCGGUGAGAGAAUCAGAACAAAAUGUGCAAUUUCCCUCAACUAAAAUAUUAAGUUUAUGGCUUUCCAAGUCUUAGCACUGCAUCAAGAACUAGUUCGGAUAAUGUAGGUUUUGCCCUACGCGAGAGUGCAUGUUCUAUAUAUUAGUAAAGGUGCGAUGGAUAAUUGUAAUAUCAACUGCUAAGACAAUGGGUAAAACUUAACUAAACAAAUUAUAAUAAUAUUAUACUAAUGUUUUGCUUUCCAAGUUUUAAGCACUCAUCAAGACUGGUAUACGCAAUAAAUGUAGGUUUCGCCUACGGCGAAGGUGCAUGUUUUGUAUUAGUUAAGGUGCGCUGGGAUAAUUGGUAAAUAUCCAACUGCUAAAACAUGAGUCAUAACUUAAUUAUAGAUUUAAUUAUAAUAUGUUUAGAAGCCAGAGUUGGGAAAUGAUCCAUAUGAUCGGAUUGGAUAAGAGAGUUAUUCACACCAACUAAAAUUUUCGAGAGUUGUAUGAGAUACAACUUGGAAAGGUAGUUCCUUACCUAAAAAAACCUAGUUUUGUGUAUCCGCCUUUAACGCGGACCUUAGAACGAAAGUGAAAUAUGGAUCUCGACCCUUUAGAAAAUCUUCCAAACGGGAUUUAUCCGAAUCAAAUUAAUGAGGGUGCAUUUGUUUUGAGUAAAAUAGUGGGAGCAUAUUUGAUUAAAGGCCUAAUUAAAAUAUGUCAUGAUAACUUAAUGAUUUUCUUAAUUCCUUUAUGUAGAUAAGUACAUGACAGCAACCUCUAACAACAUCUUGUAGAUCAUCCUUUGACAAUGGAAUGAAAUAUGUUACUGGUAGCAUAAUCAGUUUCUGGAUUGGCACCGAAACACCUGAGGAAUGUGUCCUCAAUAACAUUGAUAAAAAACGUCUGUAUGUCCUUGGGAACACCUGUUCCUGAAGAGGAAACCUCCUAAGUUCUGCACCUAAGGGCAGAAAAGAUGGCUUAUAAAGAAGCGAUGUGAUGAUGCGAAUGAAACUGGUUGUCUCAUGCUGGCGUACCGAUGGAAACUCAGAAUUCAAAAGCAACAUGAGAACUAAGUCAGCGUCGAUAUGAUCGAAUAUGAAAGAUGCUCUAUGCAAACGAGCAAGCAAGGCAUGAGAAGGUUUGAAGUCAUUUUCAAAGCACAGCCUUUUUCAAGCAAGUUAAGACUGAGGGGGAGCCCCUGUAAAGUCCCAUUGUGCUCAAAAGAUGAUUGUGGUAUGGUGGACAACCUUUGAAAGGUUUGGGUUUUCGCCACCUCGGUAACGAACUUGAGCGACUGUGUGAAUUCUUUGCAAUGCGUGUGCAAGAGUGGAUUCAGCAAUUUGUCCUAAAUUUCAAAUAUGAAGUAAUAUGGACAAAUCUCUUCCUUGAAGCUGCUUCGCCAUGUUAAGAAACUGUCGAGCAAGUAAUCUGAAUCAAAAAGAAGGAAGUCCAUUCCUGAUGAUCGGAACAUGGAAAGAGACAGAACAAAAGGCUCCUCAAUCAGGGUAGAUAAGGAGAAAGUGCAAGGAAGUUGCCAACCCAAAACCCACCCGUUAGCUACCGACUUAAUAAGACCUAGUGGAUCGGCAUAGCAAGAAAUGGCACCUGCUAUUCGAAUGCGGUAAGACCGGACACUGGAAGACCGGAACUGCCGCAAAGUAACCUUCUGGAAAGAUAGAAAGAAUGGAGUAGAGACUUUCAACUUCAGGGUAUAUUUUGUAUUAAAUAAAUUUAUGCUACUCUAGGUAUUAUUAUGGGUAUUAGAUACUGGAUGCGGUUCUCACUUUGUACAAAUGUGCACAGGGGCUGAAAAGGAGUACAGAUUUGGCACAAAGGUGAAGUUGCAUCCUACGAGUUGGCAAAUGGAGCAAAGGGUUGCUACUUUAGCCGUAGGAUCUUAAUGUAUUGAACUUUAUGCCUGAGUGGUUUAAAUAAUUAAGUUAGAGAACUAUUAUUAUGUCCCCCCAAACUGCAUAUUAGCAGGAAUAUUAAAUUCUCUUUCUUGUUUGGACAAGUUUGGUUUUUCAUUUCAUUAAUAAUAGAACAAUUGUUGUCUUCACAUUUUAUUUUGAAAAUGAUAUAUUCUACUGCCUUCUGUACAAAUGAACAAUGGACUAUAUAGUCCUUGGUCUCAUAAUGCCAAACUUAUAAACAUUAAAUACGUAAGAGGAUGGCAACCUACUGAGUUAAAUCGCAUUGAUGAGUCACGCCGAUCUUUCCAAACUCCAUUUGCGGACAUGCACUAUAUGACAGGCAGCUUAACACACUUACCGAUUGGUUCCAUCCAAAAAGGUUGAGAAGACACGAAUAUGAGAUAUGGGAGUGGUAAGAAACCCACAUAGUGUCUUAUCAUGAAUAUUGGGGUUGCGUAAGUUUAUAGUGAAAUGACAAGUUUGUCAACUAGCUUGAGCACCAACAUCUGACAAAUCUUAUUUGUGGGUAAUCCUAAAGAAAGGAGGGUAUUACUUCUACAAUCCUUCUGCAGGGAAAAAAAUUUUGGUCGCUCUAAACUGGAGUUUUCCUAGAAAAGGAUUUUAUUUCCAAAGAACCAGUUGGGAGGAAAGGUAGAGCUUGAGCCGAUUUCAAGAAUCAGCAAAGCAUACAGCACACCUAUGGAGGAAUUGGAGGCAGGAAACACAAGUAAGUAGUUGUGUAAGAGCAACCUAGCUCAAGUAGAAACAAGAGCCAUGCGUAGGUCAGGCAGGAGAGGGAAGGUAACGUGCACCACCUAAGAUAUAUGGAUCAAGGUGAUGUAUUACUCAUGGAUCAGAUGAGCCCUGUGACCUACUCAUGGGCAUCUCGUUUUGAUGAAACAAUAAAAAUCAAUAUGGAUUCAUCAGACGACAGAAUGAGCCUUGUGUCUAAAGAAGGUUAUGGGAGCAUGAUCGUAUUCCUGGUAUUAUAUGUAGAAUGACAUAUUACUCAUUGGAAAACGAUAUCCCUACCCUACAACAAGUAAAGGUCUGGGUGGGGAAUGCUUAUCUAUGAAGGACUAGGUGAAGCAGCCCUAUAUAUUAGGAAUCAAAUCUAUAAGAGAUCGAGAUACAGAUAAAAUGCCUAAAUUGGCCUUAAGCCUCAAGUCAGAGUACAUAGACAAGGUGCUGAGACGCUUUAAUAUGAAUGAUUCCAAUGAUUAUGUGUUUUGCUGAAAUGGUGGCGCUGUGAGCUUGAAAAGUUCAAAGCAAGAUAUAGUUUGCUGAAUCUACAACCGAGGCCGAGUAUAUUGCUGCCUCAAGUGCAGCAAAGGAAGCUGUUUGGAUCAAAAAGUUCAUUAGUGAACUUGGGCAUAGUCCUAGCAUUGUGGAUCCCAUUGGUCUCUUAUUAUGAUAACAAUGGUGCUAUCGGCAUAAGCUAAGGAGCCUGGAUCUCACCGACGAUCCAAACACAUACUUAGGCCGUUAUCAUCUCAUUCAGAGAUAAUAGAUAGAGAGAGAUGUGAAAAUAUGUAAACUACCUACACUUGACAAUAUAGUUGACCCCACUGACCAAAGCCUCUUGCCGCAGGAGAAGCAUGAUGGCCAUACUAGAUCAAUGGGCAUACGGGGUAUGCCUGAUUGGCUUCUAGUGCUAGUGGGAGAUUGUUGGUGUAAGCCCUAGAGGCCAAUACAUUUUGUGGUACUUGUAUCGAAUUAAUAAUAAAAGGCAUUCUCUUUAUUAUGGUUGAUUAGUAAUAGUCCCUGGAAUAGAUAGUCCAGUUUAAUGUAUUAAGUGUGACUUAAUCAUGAGAACACAUUAAACAUAAAGGACAUUAUUCUAAAGCAUCCGUAGUCGAGCUUUUAGUGUGAAGUGGGAUAACAUUAAAGUAUUAAGACUAUUAUGUUUGUAGACUGAUGAUCACAUCUCAUGGAUCAUGGAUAAAGAGUUAUCCAGUCUUAAAUAUAGGUAUGAAUAUUAGGAGUAAUAUUUAUACCGCGGAUUGACCCGCUAUGAGAAUAACUAUAUAGAAAGUUAUGCAAGGUGUCAAAGUUAUUCUCAUGGUGAUAAUAGUGUAUUCCACUCUUCGACCUGAAACCACUAUGGAUCCUAGAUGUAGAGUCGAGUGCUUUAUUGCUGAUCCAACGUUGUCCGUAACUGGAUAACCAUAAAGACAGUUGAUGGGUACUCCCAAAGCAAUGCUGAGGGACAUGAGUGAACCUAGAUGGAAUUUGCCCAUCCUGCAUAACAGGAUAAAUGUCUAUGGGCCCAAUAUUGAACUGGACAAGGAUGACACGGUCUAUGCCUUGUGUUCAAUCAUAGACUAAAGGGCAAAUAGGGUAAUUAUAACACAUAAGUAUUAUCACAGAAGGAAUUGUCAGAUCACAUGACAUUUUCGUGUCUUGGGUAGCAGUGAUGUGUUGCUAGAUACCGCUCACGUGUUUAUUAUGUUAAAAUGCGUGAUUUAUAUAAUUGCCAACGUCACGAAAACCUACAGGGUCCACACAAAGGACGGAUUGAUGAGAGAUAGAGUAACUAGGAAUAUCGUAAGGUACGGUACCCUUAAGUGGAAUUAUAGAACAUCGUAAGGUACGGUGUACUUGAGUAGAAACGAAAUAUGGUAAGGUACCAUGGGCUUAAGUGAAUUUUGGCAUAUUAUAAGAUAUGGGCCAAAAUACACUUAAGUGGGCUUUUUAGCUUGAAGCCCACACAAGUGGUUCUAAAAUAGAACCCUUGUGCAGAAGCACAAAGAGCGGUUGCAUUAUUUUCGUUUUCUAUCACUCUCUCUCUCUCACUCAAGUCUUCACUCGUACCAGCUAGCACUGAGAUUGAAGGAACCGUUCGUGUGGACUGAGUAGAGAGUUGUCAUCGUUCAACGUUCGUGAUCGCUUCGUGGAUUUGCAUCAAAAGGUUUUUGAUUGUCACAAGAGAUCUGCAUCAAAGGUUUCAACCGUCACAAGAGGUAAAUAUUCUAUCACUGAUCAUGACCAUUCUGUAAGGAUCUCUAAGGAGAAAUUUUUAAUUCCGCUGCGCUUUGGGUCGCAAUUCUCCUUCAGUGGUAUGUUGGUGUAAGCCCUAGAGGCCAAUCACUUAUUGGUACUUGUAUCGAAUUAUUUAUUAAUAAUAAAAGGCCUUUUCUUUAGUACGUUUGUUUAGUAAAGUCCCUGGAAUAGAUAGUCCGUUUAAUGUAUAAGUUGACUUAAUCAUAGAAGCACAUUACAAAUAAGGACAUUAUUCUUAAAGUUCCGUAGUCGAGCUUUAAGUGUGAAGUGGGAUAACAUUAAAGCAUUAAGAGCUAUUAUGUUUGUUAGACUGAUGAUCAACAUCUCAUGAGAUCAGGAUAAAGAGUUAUCAAGUCUUAAACAUAGGUAUGAAUAUUAGGAUAAUAUUUAUACCGGAUUGACCGCCUAUGAGAAUACUAUAUAGAAAGUUAUGCAAGGUGUCAUAAAGUUAUUCUCAUGGUGAUGAAUAGUGUAUUCCAUCUUUCGACCUGACACGCACUAUGGAUCCUAGAUGUAGAGUCGAGUGCUUUAUUGCUGAUCAAACGUUGUCCGUAACUGGAUAACCAUAAAGACAGUUGAUGGGUACUCCACAAAGCCAUGCUGAGGGACAUGAGUGUCCUAGAUGGAAUUUUGCCAAUGACUGUGUACAGGGAUAAAUGUCUAUGGGCCAAUAUUGAACUGGACAAGGAUGACACGGUCAUACCUUGUGUUCAAUAUAGACAUAAAGGGCAAAAGGGUAAUUAUACACAUAAUUAUUAUCACAGAUGUUUUGUCAGAUCACAUGACAUUUUCUGUUCUUGGGUAGGCAGUGAUGUGUUAGCUAGAAUCGCUCACUGUUUAUUAUGUUAAAUUAUGAUUUAAUAUAAAGCCAACGGCGCGAAAAACCUACAGGGUCAACACACAAAGGACGGAUUGAUGAGGAUAGAGUAACUAAGGAAUACCGUAAGGUACGGUGCCCUUAAGUUGAAUUAUAGAACAUCGUAAGGUACGGUGUACUUGAGUAGAAUACGAAAUACGGUAAGGUACCAUGGCUAAGUGAUUUUGGGCAUAUUAUAAGAUAUGGGCCAAAAUACACUUAAGUGGGCUUUUAGCUUGAAGCCCACACAAGUGGUUCUAUAAAUAGAACCGCUUGUGAGCGAAGCAAAAGGUUGGCGGUUGCAUUUUUCGUUUUCUCAUUUCUCUCUCUCUCACUCAAAGCCUUCCAUUCGUACCAGCUAGCAUGGAGAUUGAAGAAGCCGUUCGUGUGGACUGAGUAAAGAGGACCGUUGUCAUCGUUCAACGUUCGUCGAUCGCUUCGUGAUCUGGCAUCAAGGGUUUUGAUCGUUACAAGAGAUCUGCACCAAAAGUUUCAACCGUCACAAUAGGUAAAUAUUCUAUCACUGAUCAUGACCAUUCGUAAGAUCUCUAAAGGAGAAAUUUUAAUUUCCGCUGCGUUUUGGACCGGCAAUUCUCCUUCAUAAAACAUAGAGACAUAGGCNUAAGAAUAGUGUCCUUAUGUUUAAUGUGUUCUCAUGAUUAAGUCACACUUAAUACAUUAAAUGGACUAUCUAUUCCAGGGACUUUAUUAAUCAACCAUAAUAAAGAAAAUGCCUUUUAUUAUUAAUAAAUAAUUCGAUACAAGUACCAAAAGAUAUUGGCCUCUAGGGCUUACACCAACAGUCGCAUAAUAAGAAUACGUUGUAGUUUAAUAUCAAAAUCAAGUAGUUGUUAUCGCACAUAAGAGGAGGAGAUUGAAAGUCCAGCUAUAAUGGACGAUCUACCUAUGGCCUGGAGAACCUCCAAUGAUCAUGCCACAAAAUUUAAGCACAACAAUAAUCGGCUGCUACGUAUUCCGCCUCGACGGUUGACAAAGCAAAGGAAACUUGUUUCUUGCUAUGCCAACUUACUAAGGAAUUUAAAAACAUGUGGCAAGUUCCACUAGUACUCUUCCUAUCUAAUUUGCAAUUGGAAAAAUCAAAAUCGUUAUAACUAACGAAAUUAAAUUCGCUUCCCUUAGAAUACCAAAGCUCAUACUUAGAAGUACCAUGAAGAUAUCUAAGAAUGCGUUUUAUGGCUUUUAAAUGAGAUUCCUUAGGAGUCGAUUGAUAAUGAACGCACAUACACACGUUAAACAUAUUAUCCGACCUAGAUGCAGUAAUAUAUAGAAGAGAGCCAAUUGUACCUCUAUACUUCUUGUGAUCAACAUCCUUACCAUUUUCAUUCCUUUCCAAGUGUCCAUUUGUGGGCAUUGGAGUGUCAAUAAAUUUUGCAUCUUCCAUACCAAAUUGCUUUAGCAAGUCGUUGCAAUAUUUGGUUUGACACACGAAUGUCCCUUCGUUGAGUUGCUUAAUUUGAAGACCAAGGAAGUAAUUCAACUCCCCCAUAAGACACAUCUCAAACUUACCGUACAUUAACUUAGAAUAUUUCUUGACUAAUUGCAUGUUAGUGGAACCAAAAAUGAUAUUGUCGACACAAACUAAAAUUCUUUAAAGGAAGCAUAAGAUAUUAAUGGUAUAACAUACAUGUGAAGAUUUUAAAUGAAACACACAAUGGUUAUCACUUAAAUUUUUUGGAAAUGAGCACUCAUAACAUAUAUCAUACACUAAGUAAAUGAUAUACCUUUGAAGAUAUAAACAGGUAAAAGAAAGAACUUCCCUACAAAGCGAAAGUUGAAAAGAUAUUACCUCACCGUUUAAAUGAAGGAGGAUGCACAUGCAUUCCACAAGAAACUCUCAACCAAAAAUUGAAAUAAAUGAAAAAUGUUCUAUACAACCUUUAGACAACAGCGAUCUUAUCACUUUUCUGGAAUUCUCGUGGCGCAAGCAAUGAGGCUUUCUUUAGGGUUUGUAAUACUACAUCAAAACAAAGAAACCUGACUUGUUGGUCAUAAUGGAAACCCGUUCUAACCCUAGAAAACUCAAUUGUAUCCUUGCUCGAUUGGGUUAUAAGGGCUUCGCUUUCUCUAAAGCUAGAGAUUUUGCUGGGGGUAUCGCCAUGGGAUGGAAAUCUGAUAAGCUGCAAGUCCAUGUUUUGAAAUGCCACUUCCAGCUUAUUCACACUCAAAUUAUCGCUGAAGAUGGAAAGGUCAGGCACCUUUCUGCUGUGUAUGCUAGUCUAUUAGAGGAUCGUAAGAAAGAGUUGUGGACUGAGUUGACUGCUAUUGUAAAUUCUAUGACCCCUACCAAUGUCCAGAAUAUUACACUUAUUAAUAUUAGUUUGAGAGAUAUUACAUUUAUGAAUAUCACUGAUAAGGUUCAAACUAAACUUUCUCAUUGGAAACGGUAACUUUGGCUAAGUCUGUGAUAGAGGCAAUUCCCACAUAUACGAUGAUGUUUGUUUCUAUCCCUCAAGAUUGCGUCAAUAAGAUCCGACAAUGUCAAAGAUCCUUUAUAUGGAGUGAUUCUAAUGAUAAGAAACACUUGCAUACCAUCUGUUGGAGUAUCAUUAGUAGAGACAAACAUAAUGAUGGACUUGGUCUUCGGAAAUUGUCUAUUAUGAAUAGAUCUCGUCUUGCCAAGCUGUGUUGGAAUCUGAAAACUAAAGAGCACUUGCUUUAGAGUAGACUCCUGAAAUGUAAAUAUGUUGCUAGGUAACUUGCGAAUGGUGUCUUAAUUGCUAAACCUUUAGAGUGGCCUUGUUGUGGAGUGUUCUUCUUGUGCUUUUGAGUUUUCUGUUUCUGAGUGUUGCGUUCCUUGUACUUGGAUCUAGCUUUGAUAGUUUUACAGAGUUGUGUUCUUUGUUGGACUUUCUGUUUUGUUUGUUGUUUGUUUUCGAGGAAUGUGUAUGUUGAGUUUUCUUUUUUCCUUUACAGCCUCCUUUGCUUCUGUUGUAGUUUUGAUUUGGCAUUUUUUUGACAUCUCUUGUGUCGAAUUUAGGUGUAUGUGCUGUUGUUUGCGGUUGGUUUUGCAAAUUCCAACAGUAUGUUUAGCUUUCAUCAUCUCAGAGAAUAAUCAUAUAACAUAACAUUUGUUUACUAAACAUUUAAAGCAUUAUUUGAUUUUUAUAAAUAGAGAAUUUAAUUUAUAAAAAGAGAAUAGCAUAUAUUAGUUUGAAACUCUUUUUAUUAAAUUUUUAAUUUAAAACUUAAAGUGUUUUUAAUUUUUUACAUAUUAAAGAAAUAUAACACUAAUUAUUUAUUUGAUUUUAAUACAAAGAGAAGUGUGAAAGCAUAAUGAAAAUUAAGGGAAAAGUGAUAAAUUUCAUUAAAUACAGUAUAGGAAAAUGCUAUAAAAGAAAAAGAGAAACUUAAAGUAUGUUUAGUUACAAAGAAGAUAAAAAUAUAAAUGUAGAUAUAGAGACACAAAGAGAAAGUAGAAGUUGAGAGAGUGAUAGGAAUGGAGAGUCUAUUCUAUUUUGAAGUGAGAAUUGUAUUAUUACAUUGUAUCCUUAACAUAUAGAUUUGAAAUAUGGUUAUCCUAAGAGUCAAAAAUGGCAUAAUUAAGGGAAUGUGGAGUGGUUAUAAUAUUUGGAAUAGAAAAGAGAAAAGGCUAUUGAGAGAGGAAUACAAUGCCAAAGUGUAGAGUAGGUUUAUUCCAUUGAAAGUUGAGUACUUGUUUGAUAAGAUAUAUCGAAUACGAGAUCCACUAAAAGAUAGGAAAUAGGAAAGUGUGGCUGUUGGAAUAUUUUAGAUUUAUCUUUUAUCUUCAUUCACAUAAAAUUUACACCUAAAUUCAAAUAAUCUUAUCAAAUUUUCAAGAUAAAAUUAAAUAUCUAUUUUUUUAAAAUUUUGGAUAGUUUAAAUUUUAGAAUUAUUUUUAUUGAUUAUAAAAUUAUUUAUUUAAAGAAUGAAUUGGUGUAUAUGUAAAUUAGUUGUUGUAAUAUUUUUUGAAUAUACCUAUUUAAUAUUUAAUUUGAUUUAAAACUAAAUAUUUAGCCGAUAAUAAUGUUUGAAUUUAUUGUUAUUAAGGUAAUGCACUAUUUAUUUUAACGGUAUGGUUUGGUUAUAUACCUUUUAUAUAUAUAUAGUUAUAUAAUAUAUUAUAUAUAUAUAUAUAUAUAUAUAUACUAUAUAUAUAUAUAUAUAUAUAUAAUUAUAUAAUAUAUAUAAUAUAUUAUAAUAUAUAUAUAUUAUAUAUAUAUAUUAUAUAUUAUAUAUAUAUAUAUAUAUAUAUAUAAAAUUGUGUUUUAUUGUAAGUUUCUUCUCACCUUAAGGACACGAUAAAUUUUAUGAUAAUCGUUACGGUUGAAAAUAGAUAGAGUCGUCAUCAUUUUUAUUUGUUUUUUAAGGAACGGAAAAAUAAUAAUAAAAUCUAUUGAUUAAGAGUGAGAACCUAAAUUUGGAAGUCGAUUGAGUGAGAGAAAGAUAUUAAGCACCACUCACCAUUAUUGUAUUCAAUGUAAUCCUCCUCUAAAUUCUAGGUAGUUAUGAUUGCUUAAGGAUAUUUGCUUUAGUUAAUUAUUUACUCAUAAAAAAAAUAUUUUAUUAUUAAGAAAGAAAAUUUAUUAAAAGGAGAAGAUCUAAAAAUAUUUUUUUGAUUAUUGUCUUCGCUAGAGUUACAACAACUCUAUGCUUACGUACUUUCACUUUAUAAAAGUAUUAGAGCACCAUAGUUUUUUGUAGAAAAUAUUUGUUUGUUUUGUUGUUUUUAUCCUUUGAAAUUUUCCACCCAUCAGAACGGAGAAAUGAUUGAUUUUUAAAAUGCAUCAAUACACUAGGAUAUAAGACUUACGUUUUGAAGUGUUUGCAUUUAUUUUCUCUUCAUUAUUUGAAAAAAAUAUAACAUAUUAAUUUGAUCUAAGAAAAUAAACCCAUGAUAAUAUAUAUUAAAUAUAAAAAGGUUUAAUUAUAUAGAAUAAAUAUCCUAUCCCUUAUAGCUAACCUUUAUCCAUAAUAUUUUUUUCCUGAAUUCUAAAAAUUUAUCCCUAUUUAUGUUUUAAAAAAUCAUUCCAAAGUUAUUCCACAUAUUAACCUUAUCUCUUAUAUUAUUAUUUUUUAUUUUUUAUUUUAUAUUGAUUAACCCUAAUAUAAUAUCAAAUAUAUAUAUAUAUAUAUAUAUAUAUAUUAUAUAUAUAAUAUAUAUUAGUAUAUACAUAUGUGUGUGUGUGUGUGUUUUUUGUAUUUUUAAGAUUUUUAUUUUUAUUAUCUUUCUUUUAAUAUUAUUUUUGUAUUUGAUGAUUUAUUAUCUUUAAUAUUUUGUAACGAAUAUAUCUUUCUUUAAAAAAUUAAAACAAACAAAAAAUAUACGUAAAUAAAAGGUUUAAAUGGCUCAAUCGGCCGAAUGAAUGUGAAACAAUUAUAAAAUAAAACAAUAAUAAAACGUGAAUGAUAGAAUUGGAGAUUUAGGUUUUUUUGUUGUUGUUAUUUCACCGUAUUAACCUUUUAUAAUACAACUUCAAAGUGAGAUUCCAUGUACCCAUACAUGGCUAUAGAACUUUCCCAUACAUGACUCUUAAAGAUAUACGAGAUGCUUCCAUUCGCAAUACAUGGCUAUAGAACUUCCGUCUGCACUUCAACAGGAGCAACUCUUUUUUAUCUAGUAUAUGAUACCGAAGUCGUACUCCCUAUUGAAGUCGAGAUCCCCUCUUUAAGAGUCUUGAUGGAUAGACGAGGCAAAAUCGAUACAAACGAGGUUCGAUCAAUUAAACCUCAUAAAAGAGAAGCGCAUGGUUGCGGUAUGUCACGGGUAACUAUAUAAGCGAAGGCUCAAGAAAGUCUGUCCUCGACAUUUAAAAGAAGAUGAUCUAAAGCUCAAAAUAAUUCUACCCAUCCAUAAAUAUCCCCGUGGAAAAUGGACCUCGAACUACGAAGGACCAUACAUCAUGAAAAAGGUCUUCUCUGGCGGAGCCUUGAUUCUCACAAUCAUGGAUGGAGCAAAGUUACCAUGAUCUAUAAACUCCGACGCAGUCAAGAAAUAUUAUGCCUAGAAAAAAAGGAUAAAAAGUCCUCUAAGUCGAAAACCCUAAAGGGCAACUUAGGCAAAAAUUAGGACGUCCCGGUAGAUUGAAAACUUGAAAGAGCAAUCUGGGAAAAACUUAGGGACUUGUAUAAAAAAUAAAAUCCGAUAAGUCGAAAACUCAAAAGGGAGGCUUAUGCAAAAUAAGGUAUAUCUUCCCGGCGGACUAAGACUUGAAAAGACCGGAUCCAUGAAAAAAUUAUGGAUAUCCAAAAGGCAUGUGAACGCAUCACUUGUUUAAUCCUACAACAGGAAUUCAUAUGGGAGUAAUCAAUUCAAUCAUCGCCAUCAGAAGCAAAGUAUUGUGACCUCGAAGUCAUAGGAAUAAUAACAUGUGUUGGAUUCAAUAGGGAUAAGAAUAAAUCUGUUUUUCAUUGCCAUUUUACUUCUUUUUAGAUUUUUGCUAAUCUCUUUGUACGAGAAUUACAUCUUUAUGUACUAUUACCCAUUUACGGGCCAUAUCUCAAAAAAUAAAAUUUGUUUUUUGAAUCCCCUUCUUUGUUUUUCAGUUUUCCUGAUUGAUUAUAAAAUAUCAAUUAUUUGUGAAUAAUGCACUAAAACGCCGGGCAUAAUAAAAAAAGGCUUUUAAGAGAAAGCAUAUUUUACAUCGAUUUUGAAAAUGUCAAAAGGAUCAUAUUCUUCCAACAUUGCCUCUCAAGCAAAACACGGGGUCCAUAAAUCAACAGUCACGAUUUAACCAACAUGAGAGCUUAUCCAUUUUCAAAAGCAUAUUGCAUAUUCCCAGAUAUCAAGAGCGCCAUAGCCUGUUCCAUGGACAUAUCAAAAUCUCAAAGGUCGAAGAGUCGAAACGUCACAAAAAAACCGGAUCUCCUAAAGAUAUUUCAUACACACAUCAUAAAAGAGGCGUUAGCCCAAACACCGCAUCAUGCAAAACAUACAUGAAUUCAAAAUAUGCAUACACAUGAACAUGCAUACAUAAUACAUGGCAUAAAAUUUAUGACCACUCUUAGAGGUUCAAUACCCAAUUAUACCAAUACAUUUCCCCAAGCAGGAAUUCAUAUUGGCCUUCCCUAGCAAGUAGCACUAACACAAACAUCUUUUCAAUAAAGGGCCCCCCCAGCAAGCUCGCUCGCUAUGAGUCUUUUAAAGGAAUCUAUACAGUAGUCGGUCAUCCUAAAUUAUCAUUAUCAAUCAGUGAGCAGGUCUUCACCUCUCACACCCCCUAGCUCAGUAACAUAUCCCACAUGCGGGAGACGUUCCAACACACCAGAGUUUUAUCAAUGUAAAGGGUUCUAUUAAGGGAUUAUGUCAAUGGAUGUUAUCAAGGGGUUUAUCAAGGUUUUUAUCAAGGAUUUUUAUCAAGGAGUUUAUCAAGACUUUUUGUCAAGGAAUUUUAUCAAGGGGUUCCAUCAUGAGUGAUCAAGGUAUCACUAAGGUCCUACACGAUUUCAAACCAUGAAAGUUAUAUGCAAAUCUCACACUGAGAGGUUGAGACUAUCAGGGGUUCAUCAGGGGUUUCACAAGGGGUUCCAACGAGAGUUUCGUUAAGAGAUCUUCUCAGGAUUUUAACUCAAGUUUUUCAUCGGAGUUUAUCAGAGGGGUUUCAUCAGGUUUCCAUCUAGGGUUUUAUCAAAGGGAUUCUACCAAGGUUUCAUCAAACAACGACCAGAGAAUCAUCAAAGUCCCGCCCAAUUCCCUUAAUAUGAACGGAUGAUCAUGGAAAUCAUACACAAUUUUCACCCAUACAUGCUGAAAUUAACCAACAACGCAACACUAAGGUUCCACCAUAGGAUGGUUUGGAUGCUAACUGAGACAAUAAUUAUUCAGUCCUUGCUCACUUCAGGUCUGCUAACUCCAUGGUCAAAAUUAUGGUUCCUCUAUAUAUUUAAUUAUCUUCUCCCCGAGAAGAUGAAGACUCAUCAUCAUCAUCUCGAUAUGAAGCUAGUUAAAUAGAGACAACUGUCGUACCCCAAAUUUUGAUCACCAUUCAUAUGUUUUCUAGUGCCACCUUAUUUCAAAUAAAUGAAAUGACACAAUGGGUAUGAGAACAUGGGUAGGGAGAGCGAUCAGAUGGUCCCGGGUUCGAGUCUCGACUUUCAUUUUGUUUUAGCAUAUUAUUCUUUAAAAAAAGAAAAUAAAUAAAUUGCAUUUAAAAAAAAAUAUUUUUAAAUUUUUUUAAAAUUAAAUACUAUUUUAUGCAUUUAUAAAAAGAGAAAACAAAAAAUAUAUAUAUAUAUAUGGUAUUAAUACCACUUAUAAGUGGUGUCAAAAUAAAAAUCAAAUUUAAUUAACAUAUUAUUCUUUGGAGUCAAUUGUAUUUUGAAAGAACAUAAUGGCUUAUUUGGUAGAUAAGCAUGUCUAAGAGUUGUAAGGGGAAGGUCUUAAGUUCACAUCUCACACUUGUCGCUUUUACAAUUGUUCUCUUUUUUAUGUUUUACCUUUAAUCCUAUCAUCUUAAAAUCAAAUUUUUUUAUACUUUUUAAUUUUUCGAAUUUUAUUUAAUUUAUCAUUAUUAUAUUAUUUAUUUAAUAUAUUUUUUAAUCUAAAAAACAAAAAUCAAUCAAGAUACAACUAAAGAAAAAAUAUUCAAAAUCUUUUCUUGUUAUUACUUUCUUAAGUUUAUUUUUAUCACCCUUUUUUAUUAGUAUUAAUUUACUGUGAUUAUUAUCACUUUAAUAUUAGAAUAUUAUUAUUAUUUAAGAAAAAAAUAAAAAUAAAAAAUAAAAAGAAUCAGAGAUUUUUCACGUAUUAUUCCUCAAUCCAGUAUCAGAGAUUCUCAAAGUCCCAAAAUAUUCAAAUCUUCCUUCAACAUGUGAUUCAAAGUCAAGGGGAAAAACUUAUCUCUUUCUAAAACAAAGAACAUACAACAAUCAAACAAAAUCUUCAUCAACAUUCAUAUAAUGUUUUCGACUUUCAAAAUCAUUGAAUUUGUCUCACACAAAAAAUGGAAAAAGAAUUGUAUGCAUUAACUAGAAAAAAUCAAGACUUUAAUAUAAUAUUUUCUUAAAACUACAAUAUAAAAUGAGGUAUAAACUGUGCAAUAAGGGAGGAAGAAAACUUUUGAUAAGAAAAUCUGUAAGGAAUUCGUGUAACAGAGAAAACAAACUCAAACCAUCAACACCCAACAACAAAAUAUCCUAAUACCAAAUUGGAAAUCGCUGUGCCACCACAUGCAAUCGGAGUUGCAUUGUCCAACCGCCGCAACAAGCAUUUGUCGCUCCAUCGUACCCAUUAUAGAACCACCACGUGCUGCCCCUCUUAAAGCCCAGAUCCACCGCUACUGUCGGAAGGAAAGGUACCAAAUCCAUUAUUUUUUGUGUUGUUUUUCUUUGCAUGAAUCUGGGAAGGGUGAUGAGUUUUUAAUUUUUCGAAUUUUAUUUAAUUUGUCAUUAUUAUAUUAUUUAUUUAAUAUAUUUUUUAAUCUAAAAAACAAAAAUCGAUCAAGAUACAACUAAAGAAAAAAUAUUCAAAAUCUUUUCUUAUUAUUACUUUCUUAAGUUUAUUUUUAUCACCCCUUUUUAUUAGUAUUAUUUUACUGUGAUUAUUAUCACUUUAAUAUUAGAUAUUAUUAUUAUUUAAGAAAAAAAUAAAAAUAAAAAAUAAAAAGAAUCAGAGAUUUUUCACGUAUUAUUCCUCAAUCCAGUAUCAGAGAUUCUCAAAGUCCCAAAAUAUUCAAAUCUUCCUUUAACAUGUGAUUCAAAGUCAAGGGGAAAAAUUAUCUCUUUCUAAAACAAAGAACAUACAACAAUCAAACAAAAUCUUCAUCAACAUUCAUAUAAUGUUUCCGACUUUCAAAAUCAUUGAAUUUGUCUCACAAAAAAAAUGGAAAAAGAAUUGUAUGCAUUAACUAGAAAAAAUCAAGACUUUAAUAUAAUAUUUUCUUAAAACUACAAUAUAAAAUGAGGUAUAAACUGUGCAAUAAGGGAGGAAGAAAAUUUUUGAUAAGAAAAACCGCAAGGAAUUCGUGUAACAGAGAAAACAAACUCAAACCAUCAACACCCAACAACAAAAUAUCCUAAUACCAAAUUGGAAAUCGUCGUGCCACCACAUGCAAUCGGAGUUGCACCGUCUAACCGCCGCAACAAGAAUUUGUCGCUCCAUCGUACCCAUUAUAGAACCACCAUGUGCUGCCCCUCUUACAGCCCAGAUCCACCGCUACUGUCGAAAGGAAAGGUACCAAUCCAUUAUUUUUUGUGUUGUUUUUCUUUGCGUGAAUCUGGGAAGGGUGAUGAGUUUUUUUUUGAAGUUGUUGUUCUUGGAGAGAGAAGAGAUCGAUUGUUGAAUGAAGGGGAAAAGGUUUUUUUAAACACUUACUAAUGCUUUCACGUUUUGAAAUUGAGUUAUUUUUCCUUUACUGUGUUUGAAAAAUUCUAAUAAAUCUAAUGAUUUAAUUUAUGUUUACUUUUUUUUGAAACGAUGAAACUAGGUUUUCCUUUAAAAAAAUAUGUAUAGAAUAUUUAUUUAGGAAAAAUGGUUAAUUGUGUGGAUGGAAAUAUGGGUACGUGGAAUCUUUCAUUCGCAAUACAUGGCUAUAAAAUCCCAAAGCUCAUAUAUCUUCAAGGUACAAUCAAUAUAGGGAAACCACGUCGUGAUUCUAUAAAUCUCUCUGAAUCAGACGGACAUGGGCAAAGUUACUUCGAGGCUCAUAUUGGGCCAGGUCACCUCAAGAGAAUGAGAAGUCAAUCACUACCAAGAAUGGUUAAUCAAAAGAAUACAAUUUCAAGACGCUGGGGCAAGGCAGUUUAAGAUCUUCAAAUGAUGAGACUACUCCAUAACAUGUAACUAGGGCAAUUUGUGCAGAUACUCAGAAGAUUGAGGUAGAGCUAGGCUACACAGGUACAAGCUCUCUCCGUGUUCCAUACAUAGUUCAGAGAUGUGACAACGAUUGUGGAACUUGAAGUAGGUGUCAGAUAAUAACGUCUUGAUGACCUUAUCCUAGCCCAAAAAUUCCCACCUCCCUUUAUAUGAGCAUUUGUCUAAACCAUUGCAUAAAUCAUCAUCAUGUAUUAAUCAUGUUGCUUCACUUAUGCAUAUCAUUCAUCUAGCAUAGAAUUAAGCCAUGUGUGCAAAUUUGGAGAAUCAAAUCCCAUUAUUUUAUUGGCACCUUCAAAUCCCAAACUUGCUUGGUACCUUUUAAAACCAGUUGGUUUGGCACUUUCUUCAAAAUCCAACCUGCUUGGCAUAUUUUAAAGCCUAGUUUGAUUGGUAUCUUUUUCCCAAUCUUCACGAUUUGGUAAUCUUUUGUUUCCAACAUUCAUGGUUGAUGAACCUUCUUCAACCUUCAUGGUUGAUAACCUUUUAUUUCCAUCUUUCAUGGUUGAUAACCUUUUGUUUCCAACUUUCAUGCUUAAUGAACCUUUUUCAACCCUCAUGGUGUCAUACCCUAAUUUUUAACUCUAAGAUCCCACAUAUCAUUUACAUCUUUUUUACAUAAACAAAGUCACCUCUUGGUCCCUCUCCCUCUCAUCUUUGGGUUUUGCUUUUGCAGGGAUCAUCAAACACCUCUUUGUUGGUGUUUUACCUUUGUGAUUACAUGAUUAAUUUCUUAUCUAACCACUAAUCAAAAUAGAAAAAAUAUGUUUUAUUUUCCUUAAGUUUAUUUGGCAAGGUAGGGCUUUUCAAUCAAUAACAUCUCAAGGUUUUGUGGCUUACUUCUCAAAGAAAGUCAAAGGUUGGUGUGUUUAUUUACAUGCCUUAUUCAACAAUCAACUUCAAGAUUUGAGCAAUUUAAUAAAUAGGAAAUAAAGGACACCUUAUUUUGAGUUCAUAUGAUCACCCUUGUGCAUUGAAAUGAAAGAAAAGUCCAAGUACACAAGCUUGUUCCAAGAGAUUUGACCAAAAGUCAACCAUUUGAAGUCAAAGUUCCAAAGAUCACAACCCCUUAAAUUCUUAAACUUUUUGAAUGUUUCUUUUUGCAUAUGACUUUUCUCAACAUCCUAUACAACUUCUAUUUAAAUUACAAAACCCAAUUAUGCUUGGAGGAUCAUCAAAGGUUUGGAGACAUUAUAUGUCAUUUAUGGACUUAGAGAAAUUUGACAUAUUUUCAAGUGACUUUUCCCCAACUUUCAAAGAUGAUAACUUCUUCAAUUUUCAACAUUUGAGGAUGAUUAUUUUUUCAAAAUGCCAUUUGUGAUAGCCUCUACAGGUUUUCUUCAAGGACCAAGGUCAGAAUAUGCUUGGAAGGCCAUGGAAUUCAUUGAGACAUUACAAGUCAUUUUCAGCCAUGAAGCACUCAAAUUUUUCUAAGUUAUAUGAUCAGUUUUUCAUGCCAAAUUCAACAUGUCAUAACUUUGUGCUCAAGCAUCCAAAUUCAACCUUUCUUGGCUCAUUGUAAUAUUGGCUAUGAUGUUAACAUAUUGCAAAAAGAAUGAGGUUAAAAAGCUUCCUGAGUAGGGUUCCCCAUUGAGUUGAACAUGGUGACUUGUAACUGAAGAAAUUGCCAUUGUCCGAGUUUUGAACUUCGCUAAUCUUAAUUCCAAGCCAAAUUAUCAUGUUUUUUGGACCUAAUCAUGUUUAACCAAGUUUCCAAAAGUUAAUUGACCCUUAAAACGCAUCAUUUGGCCGAGUUUUGAUGAGUUUCAAGUCACACUUUUCACACACUCGGAUCAAAUUCAUUUUGCACGAAUUCUGCAUCAUCUCACACGUAUUUGGAUCCAAUCACAUUCCCUAUAAAUAUGGGAAGCUAUUGCAUUCAUUUCCAAGCUUUUGAGAUCCAAGAAAUCUCUGUUGCAACUUGAAUUUUUUCUAGAAAAUUUAACUAUCGUGUUUUGAGUUUCAGCUUGUUUCAAUCCAAUUUCUUGAUUCCAUUAGCACCUUCAGCAUCCUCUGAAAAUUUUGAAACAAUUCCCAAGCUCUGAGACCUUCUGAAGUGCUCUAGCCAGAUCAAGUUUUAUCAUCUUUUGAUCGUCAUUUGGACAAGGUAGUUAUGAGCAUCAUUUGAACUCAAACAAGUUACCACAAUGUAGUCCUUCACUCUUUGAUGAUUUCCCCUAACUUAUCUGGUGUUGAUUGAUCAUGUUUAUCAUUUAAUUUUAUUUUUCGUGGCUUGCUUGUUUCUGAAACUUCUUUGAAAUUCCCUUUGCUCAGUUUAUAUAAAUGAAUUUGGAGCAUAAGGUUGAAUUCAGGAUGAGAAGAAGAUCACAAUGGUGGUGGUCUCGGGUAUUAAAUUUACCAAACGAUGAAACUCCAGUGAGAUCUCACCGGAUAAAACAACCGGAGUUUUCUCAGAUUGUCUGAGUUUGAUCACACACGUUAGAGGAACGAAAUGUUUUGAUUGCAACGCGUUCCAUCGUGUUCUCUAACAUAUGGAGUGUUGGAUCUGCCAUGUCAGUUAUUGAGGCGUGAUCCAAUGCUCUGUGUUUUUUCUGAUUUUAAUUAAUUUUCUUUUAUUAUUUUUAAUUGCUUUUUUAAAAAAAUCAUAGUAAUUUCAUUUUUUAUCCAAAAAUUUCCAAAAUAAUUUCUGAAAUUCUCUUUUUUUUUUCUUCAUCUGAUUUUUAUUUUUCCAUAUUAUAUUUCACUGAUUUUCUAUUUUUCAUGAAUUUUCUCUUUUCUACUUUGUUUUAGUUAGUUUAAAAAUACUUUUCUGCAUUUUUAAAUUCUGAAAAAAAUUAUUAUAUGCUUCUUAUUUUAUUUCCAACCAUCCAUAAUUUUCUUGGUCAUUUAUUUGGUGUUUUGAAGGACUUUAUGGAUUUUCCAUUUUAUUUCAAUUUUAAAAUUCGUUUAAAAUUACUUUUGGUGCAUUUUUGUUUCAUUUAAUUACAUUUUAUAUUUGUGUGAUCUUGUGAACUUUUGUUGGCCUUGGAUCAUGAUAGUUUGGACUUCAAGUCUCAUCAAACUCAAUGGACUUUGGAUGUUGAUGGGAUGAAAACCAUAAUCCACCAAAAUGGAUGAUUGAUUUUGAUGAUGAUUUGAUCAAACUUUUUGUCCAAUUUGGGUGUGACUUCCCUUGUUUCUUUCUUCUUCAUCUCCUUCUUUUUCCUUUGAUCAAUUGGAUGGCUUGUGACCAUCUUGUUCAUGAUGUAUGGAUUGGUACUUGAUGAACUUUCAUCAUUUCAAAUUUAUCUCCUAAUUGAUCAUGGAUUAUUUAAGGUACUUUGGAUUGAUGAAUAAGUUUAUCCUAAGUGUCAUGAAGUGUGGAUUAAAGUAAUGGACCUUCCUCCUAGCCUUUGUGCUUGAUCAUUCCCUCUUUCCUUUUUUUUGUGGCAUGGCUUUAGGAGAAUUAUUUACACAUCAUUUCUCUAGCAUGUAUUAACACAAAUAUUAUCAUUGACCAGCCUUAGAUAGUUGUGACUUCUAUAUAGGUCCAAUUACGAUUUCUUAACAUAACGCUAAAUUUGUCCAAAGGAAAGCAAAGGCAUUUUUAUAAGUGAGAUUGUAAGUCUCCUAUUCCUCAUGGUAUUGUAUGAAAAUUUUGCUCAUUUUCCAUUUUGUGAGAUCUAGUGGCAUACUUAUUGAUUUUACCCAAGUUGGAGUCAUUCUCAUAAAUGAUGUAUACGUUCAUAUUUCCAUGCUUGUGAGUGGAUAAUUGAGCGUUCUCCGAAAAAUGAUCAAACCAUCUUUCAUCUUUGCUUACUAACAUCUUUUACUAACACUUUACUUGUAUUUCCAAGUCAUUUACUUUAUGCUCCUUUAUUUUAUGUUAUUUACUUUAUACUUUAUAUUUAGCAUUCUAUAUGAUAUUGUUUAUGAUUUUUAUUCAUUUGUUCUUUGUCCAUUUGGAUUUUUCUUUUAUAUCAUUCUAAAGAAGACAUUAAUAAAUAAAAACCUAGAUUUUCCUCCCUAGAUUUUACUUUAUAAUUUAGGGUAGUCUCUUCUUCUCCUCCUCCCCCUUCUUUAACUUUCAAAAUCUUCUCUUUUUUUUAAACCUUCUUAUUUUUUAAGUUGGACCACUUUCUCAAUAAACCUUGACUUUUGUCAAGUGAUUUUCAAAACCUUUUUCCUAAAUAAAUGUUAAUCCAUCUUAAGCAUAUUUAGACCAAUUUCAAAAGACUAAAAAAUGCAAAAUUCAUUCAAAUCAUUUGUGCCUUUGUGCACUUUUCAUUUUAAAGCUUUUCUCAAGGUAUUAAACACGAGUCAUUUCUAUAGUUGAGAUAUAAUUCUCCGAUCCCCAUAGUAUUGAUGACAAUUCUUUUCCAUUUGUGAGAGCUAGUGGCAUAAUUGUUGAUCCUUAUCCAAGUUGGAGCCCUUCUCACGAUGAUGCAAAGUACUCAUACUUGUGGGUGACUAGUUGAGUAUUCUCCUUAAAAUGACAAAAUGUAUUUUCCAUAAAAAUGAAUAAAAAAAACUCCUUUGUUAUUUUUACCAUGAACUACGAGGUUUUUAUCCUCCAUUUCACUUUGUUGGCACGUAGGCAUGAGACUUCAAAAGUCUUGGCAAACACAAAAAUAAGAAAAAGUAUACUUCUUUACCUAUCUCUCCAAUCUCUUACAAACAUCACCCUUUUCAAACCAAAAUGUAUACAUUUUCAAAGAGGUUCCAAUGGAAUACCAUGGAUGUUUAGGGUGCUAAUACAUUCCCUUUGCAUAACCAACCCCCAGACCCUUAUCUCUUUUCAUUAGUUUUGUUUUAAAACUUCUUUGGGUUUUGUUCUUACCUUUUCCCUUUUCCUUUGGAAAUAAUAAAAGCGCGGUGGAAACUCUUGCUUUAUGAGUUAAGUUAAUCAAUAGCUUAAUCUUAAAAUUCUUACCGCUACAGGAAAGUGGCGACUCUGCUGCGGAGUAGUCCCUAGUGGGUUAAGCCCAUCUUUGUUUUUGUGCAGAUAUUAUGGUUGUUGUUGUUUGUUAUUAUUGGUUAUGUCUGGUGCUUAGUGAUCUCUGUGUGGUGAGAUAAGUCAUAUACCCGAACUUGAGAGCUCUUAUGAUAGAAGGGUGGUAUAGUCAUGUUUGGCUUACGUUAAGUUAAUCCUUAAUAAGUUGACUUGAGAUCUCCCGCUCAGUGGAGGCCCCUUUGGGAUUACUGAUGUCACACAAGUAGCCGUAGUUGGCAUUACUUUUUCCGACCAGGAACCCGAGAAGCCGAGGACCUUAGAACCCUUAACCCAUAUUGGCCUUUUAGAACGUAGUGCGAUGGAUAUUCAAGUGUAGACUUGAAUUAGUUGUUACGCGAUACUACACUCGAACGAGUUUCUUUUGAGAAUAUUAUUGGUUGACGAGUAGUCUUUUAAGCCGGUAAUAUCCAAAAGAUGGAAUUACGACUCUGGGAACUUUUUAGAACCUUGUUCUACAUGUCAUUAUACCCUUAGUACAUACAUUGUGGGUUGGUUCUUACCCUUUGCUCCAUGCUCGUGACUCUGAACCUUUGGACCUUGUUUGCGUGUCUUUUGUGAUAUUGUUUGUGGUUGUAUGCACUCAUGGAAUUCAUAAGAAUUUUUCUCAAUUUUCAAGGAACUUAGAGACUCUUUUUGCAAACAUCACAGAUAUUUUGAUCAUGGAUAUUGGAAGGAGGAAUACUCAGAAGUACAGUUCCAGAUGUCCCGAUCUUAUGGAAUUAAAGAAGCUAGCAUCUUUUGUGGAUGAUCAUAAGGGUUUCAGAGAUUGUUUUAGAAGGUUUUUAUAUGUUCUAUCUACUGAUGUUGAGGAUGGUCGUCUUUGUACUUUGGUUCAGUUCUAUGAUCCUGUUUACCGAUGCUUCACUUUCCCCUAUUAUCAGUUGUUUCCUACCAUGGAGGAGUAUGCUCAUUUUUUGGGUAUGCCAGUUUCUAAUAGAGUUCCUUUUAGUGGGGUAGAAGGAGUCCUGGAAUCUCAAGUUAUUGCUAAAGCUAUUCACUUGAGGAAGUCUGACAAAGAUGUCAGUCUCACUGUCAAAGGAGGUAUCAGAGGGUUGUCUUCUAAGUUUCUGAUUGGGAAAGCUUUUUCUUUUGCCAAUGCUAAUAGAAUGGUGGCCUUUGAAACUAUUCUAGCCUUACUCAUCUAUGGUUUGGUCUUGUUUCCCAACAUUUAAAACUUCGUUGAUGUUAACACUAUGAGGAUCUUCUUGAUUAGGAAUUUGGUUCCAACUCUGCUCGGUGAUACCUAUCUAUUCAUUCAUCAUAGGACUUCUAAAGGGGGUGGCAUUAUUGUCUGUUGUGCGCCUUUAAUGUACAAGUGGUUUAUUUCGCACUUGCCGCAGUCUCCUAUCUUCAAAGAAAAUAAGGAUUGUUUAAGGUGGUCCCAAAGACUUAUGUCUCUCACCAAUGAUGACAUAACUUGGUAUUCUUACGUUUACGACGACGUUGAUAUUAUUGAUAGUUGUAGGGAGUUCUCUAAUGUGCCUCUUCUUGGUACACAAUGAGGAAUCAACUACGAUUCGGGUCUGGCAAGACAUCAACUUGGGUUCGUCAUGAAGGACAAACCUAAUAACACUUUGUUAUAAGGUUUAUUUUUCCCGGAAGGGAAAUACACCCAAGGGUUGAAAGCUAGAGUGAUAUGUGUUUGGCACAAUGUUAAUAGGAAAGGAAAAUGUGAGAUUGGUAUGAAGAAAUGGAUAGAUUUGGAUCCUUACAAUAGUUGGGGGAAGAAGAGAGCAAAGGAAUUCAAGAUGCCAUACGCUUAUGAAAGACCUAUGUCCUUAGUAAUGGUCAAAUCGCGCACUAUUAAAGGCAUAGAGGAGUUGAAAGAGGAUUUGGACAGGAUGAAGCAAGAGAGGGAUGAUUGGGAGGAUAAAUUUCACACCUUACACCUUGAGAAAGUAGAAUUGCAGAAGCACCUAAAGGAGAAGGAUGACUUGAUAGAAUUGCUCGAGCAACAUGCUGUGAAGAGAUCAAGGAACCAAAAGGAUUUAUUUUCCUCUAACAGUUCAUCAUCUACUCUUCUCCCCGAUUCUGAUGUUUGGAAAGGCAUUAUAGAUCAACUCGUAAUAGAAAAGGAUGCUAUGAAAAACGAAUAUGAAAGAGAGAUCAAAAGGAUUCGCAAAAAGUACCAGCUUGGAGUUGGGUCGUCAGCGGACAUGAUUCCAUAGAUCUAGUUUCUUUCCGUUUAUGAUCAUCAAAAUUAUAUUUCUAAUUGUAAUCCUUUACAUUAUUAAUAAAAUGAGAUUUUUAAUACAAAAAAAUAUGUUAUUCUCAUUAUGAUAUUUUCAAUUUAUGUCUUAAAGUUCCUUGAAAAAUAAUAAUAAUAAAAUUCACAUUUGCAUUUGUAUAUCAUACAUCAUGCUGCAUCUUGGUCUUGCUUUGAGCAAGUUCGUAAGGGGUCUUAUUUCUUUCUUGGUCUUCAUCCAGACAAGUUGUCUCACCGGUACAAUAUUCGAGCUAAUUAGUUGAAAGUGAUGGACUGCCUAGAGAAAGAGAAUUAUGAACUCCGUGAAGAGGUGACAACCUUAAGGGACAACUAUGAGAGGCUUACUACUAUGAUGGAAGCUUUGGUGGCUGCUCAGAAUCAGCUUCCUCCUCCUCCUCCUCCUCCUCAAACUCCGCUUCAGAGAACCGUGAUUUCCAAAAUUGUUUCUAGGCCUAUCUUUGUGGAUCCCGUCAGUGCUCCGCAACACCAAAUGCCUUCUGGUUUCCCUUGGGGCAUGCCUCCUAACUUCGUGCUUGAGGGGUAUCAACCUGCUGUUGAAGUUCCUAUGGCUCAACCUAUGAUCUCAGUACCACCUCCCAUGGUUCAUGUUGUUCCUUAUGUCUAAGAAAAUAUCUUUCAUGUUGACCAGAGCGAGACUGUCGGUGUUUAUGAAAGAAUGGAUGAGUUUCAAGAUCAGUUUCAAGCUAUGCAGAAAGAGAUUCAAACUUUGAGGGGAAAAGAUUUGUUUGGGAAGAAUGCUCAUGAUCAAUGUUUCGUUCGUAAUGUGAAGAUUCCGUACAAGUUCAAGGUUCCAGAUUUUGAAAAGUAUAGAGGCAACUCUUGUCCUCUGAGUCAUCUGGUGAUGUACGCUCGUAAGAUGUUGAAUCAGACUAACAACCAUCAAUUGUUGAUCCAUUACUUUCAGGAUAGUUUGACUCGUGGUGCUUUGAAAUGGUAUAUGGGACUUGAUAGUACUCAUAUCCAAACAUUCAAUGAACUAGGUGAGGCAUUUGUUCUCCAAUACAAAUAUAAUGUCGACAUGGCACCAGACAGGGAUCAACUUCGUGCUAUGUCCCGAAAAGAUAAAGAAACUUUCAAGGAAUAUGCACAAAGAUGGCGCGAGAUCGCUGCACAGGUUAGUCCUCCGUUGGAAGAAAAGGAAACAACUUCACUAUUUUUGAAGACGUUGAGCCUGUUCUAUUAUGACAGGAUGGUAGCAAGUUCCUCUAAUGACUUUACUGAAAUGGUAAAUAUGGGCUUGAGAUUAGAAGAAGGUAUUUGUGAAGGACGAUUGAAAGAAAAUGGUUCGACCGAGAGUUCCAGAAAGUAUGGGAAUGGGUUACCCAAGAAGAAACAACAUGAUGCUAAUGUUAUCUCGCAAGAGAAACGUAGGAGGCUUUAGAGGAACAAUCAACAUCAUUAGCAUGUGGCGUCUGUAACUCCAGUUAUUAAUUUUGCUUUGGUUGUUCAAGCAGCACCAAGUUAUCAACCGCGUUUCCAGCAAUGUACAAAUCAACAGAAUCGUGCCCAGAGGCCCGCAUAAUUUGAUCCAAUUCCAAUGACCUAUACAAAGUUAUUUCCUGUUUUAAUAUAUAAGAAUUUGGUACAAACAAGAACUCCAUCAUCUAUUUCGAAAGAGCUUCCAUGGUGGUAUAAACCUGACCAACAUUGUGCAUGCCACCAAGGAGCACCUGGCCAUGAUAUUGAAAAUUGUUUCGCUUUGAAAGCUGAGGUAAGAAGGCUAAUACAAAGUGGUAUCUUAUCAUUUGAAGAUUCUAGUUCCAAUGUAUAAGCUAAUUUGUUACCCAAACAUGGCAAUGCAACUGUGAAUAUGGUCGAAGGAUAUCCCAGAAAGUACCGAGUUUUUAACGUCAAUCUAAUCAGAAGAUCCUUUGUUGAAAUGCAUGCUACUUUAUGUGAAAUGGGAUAUUAUGAGCAUGGGCAUGCUUGUUGCCAUGUUUGUUCCAGAGGUCCCCGUGGAUACGCUGUUGUGAAAAGAAACUUACAAGAAAUGCUGGAUCAAAACCUUAUUCAUGUUACAAGGGAUAGAAAUGAAGAUGAGCAUGAGGUGAACGUCAUAGUUCCCUGUUUCAAUCUCCCGGAACCUGUUGCGAUUGCAUAUAAUGGUAAGAAGACUGUUGUUUCUCCAUUGGUUAUUCAUUUGGCAGGUCCUAUGCCUCACGAGUCUGAUAAAGUUGUGCCUUACAAGUAUAAUGCUACUAUGGUGGAAGACGCUAAAGAGGUGCUUAUUCAUGAUUUCAUGUCUGUGGUGAACAUCGUCGAUGUAAGUGAUGUGACCCUAAAUGGCCGGGUAUUUACUAUUGCAGCUCGUAAGAGAACUAAAAAUGUUGUGAUAGAGAAAUCAACUCAAGAGAAAACUUAUGUUAUACAAGUCGGCCAAUCCAACAGUGUGAAUCAGAAUGUUGAUCAAGAUGAAGUGCUGAAAUUGAUCAAGAGGAGUGAUUUCAAUGUGGUGGAUUAGUUGUUUCACAUUCCGUCCAAAAUAUUUGUAUUAUCCCUACUGAUGAGUUCAUAAUCUCACCGAGAAGCUUUGUAGAAGGUUCUAGAGCAGGCCUGUGUGGACCACGACGUGACGAUCAAUCAAUUUGAUGGCAUUGUGGAUAAUAUUACUGCAUGUAACAAUCUGAGCUUUAGUGAUGAAGAGCUGCCUGAGCAGGGAAGGAACCACAAAUUGGACUUGCAUAUCUUUAUGAACUGUUAGGAAGAUGCCUUAUCCAAUAUGCUGGUGGAUACUAGGUCCUUUCUGAAUGUUCUCUAUAAGUCCGCGCUAUCUAAGCUUGCUUAUCAAGUUGCUCCAAUGAGAUUCAACGAAGUUGUUGUGAAAGCCUUCGAUGGCUCAAAAAAGACUAUAAUUGGGGAGGUUGAUCUCCCAAUAAAGAUAGGUGCAUGCUUAUUUACGAUCACUUUUCAAGUAAUGGAUAUUCAUCCCGCCUACACUUGUCUCUUAGGACAUCCGUGGAUUCAUAAGGUUGGGGGAGUAACAUCAAAUCUACACCAGAAGUUAAAUUUUAUGAAGAAUGGGAAGUUAGUGAUCAUAGGUGGCUAGCAGGCCAUGUUGGUGAGUCAUCUCUCUUCAUUUUCAUACAUUGAUGUUGACGAAGCCGAAGGAACCUCGUUUCAAGCCCUUUCUGUUGAUAAUAUUGUUGAUAAGAAGAAUGGUAAAUCCAUGUCAUCAUUGAAGGAUGCCCAACGUCUAUUGAAGAAUGGUCAAUCUGCUAAGUGGGGGAAAUUUGUUGAGCUUCCCGAGAACAAGAACAGAGCUGGUUUGAGUUUUUCACCUGGUGCAACCCAAAGAGAUCUAAAGAGAAUUCAAGAAAUGUUUCAUAGUGCUGACUUUAUUCAUUCCAGAGAUCAGAUUGCUGCCACAAUUUUAGAAGACGAUGAAGAGAAGGGAAUGCUGAACUUUGUGACACGUGGAUCGAUGUGCCAAAAUUGGAUUGCUAUUAAUGUUCCUCCUGUUAUUCACUUAUCGAAGUGAUAUGUUUUUUUGUUAUUAUUUUCAAAAUCCUUUCACUAUUCCCAAGGUGAAAGUGAAUCUAUAUGGGCUUUGUUUCAGAUUUCAUUAUCAUUAAUAAAAUGUUAUUUCGUUUAUCCAUAUUAUGUUUUUGCUUUUUGCUUUUUCUGGAAAAAACUGUAACAUAAAAAACAAGAUAAUAAUCACUUUUACAUCUGCAUCACAAUGUGCGUUUAUUUGUUCAUAUUCUAAAAUCAAGCAUAAAAUCAUUGUGUAGAUUAAUUGUUAAACCCAUUGAAAACAAUGACCUUAUGCCCUUUCCCAACUUUGAAUUCUCUAGGUUCAAAAUGGAAGAAGAGGAUGAUGAAGAGAUUCCUGAUGAGAUUUCUCGGUUGCUUGAACAUGAAGAAAAUACCAUUUAACCUCAUAAGGAGACGUUGGAAGUGAUUAAUUUGGAUUCUGAAGAGAACAAGAAAGAAGUCAAUAUUGGGGAACUACUUUGUCCAGAUGUUAAGAAGAGGAUGGUAGAGCUUCUUAGAGAAUACGUGGAUGUGUUUGCUUGGUCUUAUCAAGAUAUGCUAGGUCUUGAUACUGAUAUUAUGGAGAAUCGAUUACCGUUGAAGCCAGAAUGUACGUCAGUUAAGUAGAAGUUGAGAAGGACUCGCCGUGAUAUGGUUGUCAAGAUUAAAGAGGAGGUGCAAAAGCAGAUUGAUAUUGGAUUCCUUGUUACUGCUGAAUAUCCUCAAUGUGUGGCUAACAUUGUGCUUGUUCCAAAGAAAGAUGGUAAAGUUCGGAUGUGUGUUGAUUACAGAGACUUGAACAAAGCUAGUCUGAAAGAUGAUUUUCCUCUGCCACACAUUGACAUGUUAUAGAUAAUACAACUAAGUUCAAUGUCUUCUCCUUUAUGGAUGGGUUCUCUGGUUAUAAUCAUAUCAAGAUGGUGCCCGAGGACAUGGAAAAGAUUACAUUUAUUACACCCUAGGGAACAUUUUGUUAUAGAGUGAUUCCUUUUGGUUUAAAGAAUGUUGGUUCAACGUGCCAAAGAGACGUGAAUACUCUUUUCCAUGACAUGAUGCACAAAGAGAUAAAAGUCUAUGUUGAUGAUAUAAUUGCUAAGUCGAGGACUGAAGAAGAUCAUGUUGAGUAUUUGUUGAAGUUGUUUAAGUAGUUGAGAAAGUUUAAACUCCUGUUGAAUCCUAAUAAAUGUACUUUCGGUGUCUGUUCAGGAAAGCUAUUAGGUUUCAUUGUCAUCCAGAAAGGUAUUGAAGUAGAUCCUAAUAAAGUCAGAGUUAUUCAAGAGAUGCCUGCACCAAAGAUAGAAAAGCAAGUCAGAGGCUUCCUCGGGCGUCUAAAUUAUAUAUCCAGAUUUAUAUCUCAUAUGACUGCCACGUGUGGACCAAUCUUCAAGCUUCUCCAUAAAGAUCAAGGUUGUAUUUGGACAAAGGACUUCCAGAAAGCUUUUGACAACAUUAAGGAGUAUCUUCUUGAACCUCAUUUCUUGUCUCCCCAAGUGGAAGGAAGACCUUUGAUUAUGUAUUUGACUGUGUUAGAAGAGUCCAUGGGUUAUGUGCUUGGACAACAAGAUGAAACUAGUAGAAAAGAGCAUGCCAUCUACUAUCUGAGUAAGAAGUUUAUAGACUGUGAGUCUCGAUAUUCUAUGCUUGAGAAGACUUGUUGUGCUUUAGCUUGGGCUGCCAAACGUUUACGCCAGUAUGUGAUAAAUCAUACCACUUGGUAGAUAUCUAAAAUAGAUCCAAUUAAGUAUAUUUUUGAAAAGCCUAAUUUGACUGGAAGGAUAGCUAUUUGGCAUAUGCUAUUGUGUGAAUAUGAUAUUGAGUACCGUACUCAUAAAGCGAUUAAAGGAAGUAUUCUUGCAGAUCAUUUGGCUCACCAGCCAAUCGAUGAUUAUCAAUCCAUCAGGUUUGACUCCCCUGAUGAAGAUGUUAUGUACUUAAAAGCUAAGGAUUAUGAUGAACCAUUGCAUGAAGAAGGACCAGAGCCUGGAUCCCGGUGGGGUUUAGUGUUUGAUGGAGUUGUUAAUGCUUAUGGUAAUGGAAUUGGGGCAAUCAUUAUUACUCCUAAGGGUUCUCAUAUCCCUUUCACUGCAAGAUUGAUGUUUGAUUGUACGAAUAAUAUGGCAGAAAAUGAAGCUUGUAUCAUGGGUAUUUAAGAGGCCAUUGAUUUGAGAAUUAAAAUUCUUGAUGUGUAUGGAGAUUCACUUCUGGUGGUUAAUCAGAUUUAAAGGAGAAUGGGAUACUUGUCCUCCUGGCUUAAUUCCUUACAAGGAUUAUGCAUGGAGGUUCUCAACUUUCUUCAAUAAAAUAGAGUUUCAUCAUAUACCUUGUGAAGAGAAUCAAAUGGCAGACGCUCUGGCUACUUUGUCCUCUAUGUACAAAGUAAAUCUUUGGAAUGACACACCCAGUAUCAUAAUUAUGCGCCUUGAUAGACCUGCUCAUGUGUUUGUAGCAGAAGAAGUCACAAAUGAUAAGCCUUGGUAUUAUGAUAUUAAACGUUUCCUCCAGAGUCAGGAGUACCAGCUUGGGGCAUCAAAAGAUAAGAAGACUUUGAGAAAACUGGCUGACAAUUUCUUUCUAAACGAAGAUGUGAUGUAUAAGAGAAACUUUGACAUGGUUUUGCUCAUAUGCGUGGAUAGACAUGAAGAAUACGUGUUAAUGCAAGAAGUUUAUGAAGGAUCCCUGAUCGGUAAAAUAACAAGUGUACUAUUUGCACCAAUGUAGUAAUAAAAUGGGAGUUAUCCCGAGUAUCGAUCUCGAGGAAUGCGUAAUAAGUAUCGAUCUUUAUAAUAAUUCAGUUGAACAAAAGAUCAUAUGGGGUUUGCUGAGUGUUUUAAAAAAUAAUAAGAACUAGAAAUAAAAAUAUUAAGCGUAUAUAAACUGUUUAACCGAUAUGAGAAAGCAUGCUAGGGCCAGAUGUAUGAAUUGCUUUGUAAUACACUUCUUCCAUAUCAUAUAACAUCUAUAUUGUAAUUAUUCAAAACCGAUUCUAAAGAAUUGUUUUCUCUAAUUCCUUAGUCGAAAACCAUUAACAGUCAAUUUCAAUCCUAAUUCCUUAGUUAUUCAAAUUGAUGUUAGGAAAUAUGUAAUUGAUCAAGAAUUAACGGUUACUACGGUUUGAUCCCCAUUCCUAAGUGAUUAAACUGAAGUUUUAUUAUACAACAAGCGAUAAGGCGGUUUGCCCGACCUAAACCUUAACCAGAGAUCAGAAUUUCAUUUGUCCGAUAAAAUAAAGCAUUAAGAACGUUGUAUAAUAAUUUGAAUGAAGAAAACAUCGAUGAUCAUAAAAACAUAGAAAAAGUAUUCAUACAGUACCAAUUCAGGGACACCCCCUAACAUUGGGGGGGUUUAGCUUCUCAUAAUAUUCAAAGACAGUAAAUUACAAAUUAGAGACAUUACAAUUUGUUGUUGAUGAAGGUUGAUCUUCAAUCUCUUCCGAUCUUGAAGAUCUCUUAUCCUCUAAACACCUAAAUUAGAGACAUUACAAUUUGUUGUUGAUGAAGGUUGAUCUUCAAUCUCUUCCGAUCUUGAAGAUCUCUUAUCCUCUAAACACCUUGCACGCUCGCUUCUUCUUUCUGUCUCUUUUCUUCUACGAUUAAAAAAUUCCUUUUCUCUAUGCCAAAAUUCAGACUAAAUAGCUUCCAAACAACUAAAAACAUUACGGAAUACCCAAACUGCCCUCCGGACGUACAAAGGGGUCAAUACACGAAAAAAUCAUCAAACUGGGCGAAAUGGCCAACACGGGCCGUGUCAGGUGACACAGCUGCUGAUAACACUGAAAUUUACCGUAUUUUCGACUCCGAUUUCACAUGCAUUCUAGUUGUUUUAUUGCUAUUUUGUUGUGUUAUUACUAUGUUUUUCUCUGUUUUUAGGUUUUUACUUUAAUC